rnacentral:lncRNA from 1 species
UUGUUUUGUAAUUUAUUUUCAUGCUGUAACAAUCAAUGAAUAGUACUAUUUCAUUUUCUCUUCUUAUCCAGAGAAAGGAAACGUAAAAAAUUGAAACUAGAAACCAAACUUCAUAUCAUUUUCUCUGAAAUAUAUAUAAUAAUAUAUACUUACUUAGCUUCUUCAAUUAUUCCUUCCAAGUGGGUCUAUAUAUCCUAGUAUCUCUUCUUAUACAAGCCAUCAUUACAAAAAUUUAGAUAAACCAAAACAAAAUCAGAUCUUAAUAUGGUGGUUCAUAGAAUAGAAUUGUGCAUAUCUAUGGUUAGAAUGGCCAUAGAAUUCGUUAUGGCAGUUGCAGAAACAGUUGUAAUUGUUCAAGAGAGAAACUCUGAGCCUUUUUCACCAAUCAAUCGUGCAAAUACUCCUCUUCCUUUUUAUGGUUAUCUCCGUUGAGUCGAGUCGAUUUCAACUCUACUUCUGUUUAAUUUGUUAAUUAGUCUUUUGUUUUUUUCCAUUUUCUGAAACUGAAUUCUUCAAGUUGUAAAUACAGAAGAUCAGUAUCAUAAUAUUUCCUUUGAUAAGUUUGUAUCAAAUUGAUGCCCAUGUUUUUUGGGUUUGUUGAAUUAUCAAUUUUAGUUCUUAUUCAAGCUCUUGGUUAGUUCCAAGAUGCAAUCAUAUAUAUGUUGAUUAUGAUGAAUGAAAUCUAUAUUUUGUUUAUGUUUUUUUCUUUUCUCUCUUUCUACUUCUUCAUAUGGUUAAUAUUCUUCUUGUUCAACUUUCAUUGACCUUUGCUAAAUAAAUUUCUUCAUUUUAAAUUUUUAUAGGCAAAUGUUAAUGAUUAAUUAUAUUGUUAAAGAGGACGGAGGAAUGUUUGCAUCAAAUCCUAAAUUUCUUUCUUAACCACCAUGCUACACCUUCAGGGACAAAUUUCUUCAUUCUGUAAAACACAAAGAAACGACUAUAAACUCUCUGUUUCUGUCUUUACUUUGUUUAAGGUUUUUAUUUUUUGGUCUAAGUUUAAGGUUUAUAUAUACUUAUGUCUCUGGUUUUUUAAUUUUUAUUUGAAAUGUUUCCUGGAAUUUUGUUUGGGAGUGAAAUUGGUUUCGUCAAAGCCAGAGGAAUCUUGUUUAAUUAAGAUAUUUUCUGUUUAAUUGACCUAUAAGCAAGGUUGGUUAUCUUUCAUUGGUUGCUGAAAAAUAAAGAUACGUGCCAUCCCAAGACUUUCUUUAUACUACUAUUCCGUCCUAAAUUCCUCUAAUUUUUAAGGUCUUGGUAAUGUGUCCUUAAAACAAUAUUAAGAAAUAAAAAAAUACUUGUCUUAGAAAAGGUAAUUUUUAAGUUUUAAGGUAGUUGGUUACACAAUUUGUAAGACAACAUUUUCAUAUGCAGGUACUUUAUCAUGUGAAUUUAAUGAAACUAGGGAAUUUAGGGAAGCUUAGGUGUUUGGAUUGAGGGUUUAGGAGGGGAAGAGAGGGGAUGUUAAUUUCUCAUUUUUAAAUUACAAACUAUAUAACAUAACAUGUUUUUUUUUUUAAAUAAAGUAAGUGUGCUUAAAAUAUUAUAUGAUCGUUUAUCAUGUUAAUAUGUUAACUUUUUAAAAAACAUUUCACAGUAUCGUAAUUUAAAAAUAAAAAGUAAACCCUCCCCUCCUAAACCCUCCAUCUAAACACACCCUUAGGGUGUUGGAUUGAAGCAAGAAAAACCUUUCAGGUGAGCUACCCAUUGAGCUUUUUGCAUUACCAACUACCAAGUGUGGAAGGAUGUUGUUCUUGAGGGUGUCAUCACCAUAGUUAGGAUCCUUAUGUUACGGAAUAUAAAAAGGUGAUUUUAAUUUUCAAUAGUUUAGUGUGGUGAUGUUCUCUUAAAAUAUGUUUUGACUUCCAUGCUGGUUAAUUUUCAAUAGUUAAGUAACUUUUUAUACAUUUUAUCCAAAAAAAAUAAAAUUAGUGAGGCACGUAUCCGCAACAUUUAUAACUACUUUAGACUAGAGUAUCAUCCCGUCCUGAAUUUUAUCAUGAAAAAGAUAGUAAUAUUUAGUUGGACAAUGAAAUCUCUUUCAGUUGGACGGACAAAGACACCUCAAAGAUUUUUUUUUCUUCUGUUUUGAAAGAAAUUUGAUCCAUUCCUUUAAUAAUCUAAUACUACUAAUAAAAAAAUCCAUUAUUCUCUUCAUAUACUAUAGUGGGAUAGUUCAAAUUGCAAUGGGAUUUAACUAAUUUUUAAUUAAUUAUUUAAAUAAUAUUAUAAGAAAGUAUAAAAUAGUGAAUAAAAUGGUGUAAAUGAAAGAUAAAAUGAAAGAAAAAAGAGACUUUAAAACUAUAUAUCGCCUACUUUUGUAAGUGUAAUUCAAUUGGUAAAUAUUAGAGAUAUUAUUUGUUGUGGUCGGGGUUCAAACUUCAGAUUCUACAUUUUUUUCAUACUUAAAUGUAUGAAUCUAACCACAAAACUAUUUGACAAAUUAAAAUUAUAUAUUGCCUUUAUGUAUAGUAAUAGAUACUGCAAAUAAAUUUUCUACAACUACCCAUGGGUUUAAUCCUUAUUCCUUACACAAGUUAUUCGUCUUUCUCUCUCUCAUUUAACAUUCUUAAUCUAAUAAAUAGAAACAUAUGGUAUGUUAAGGUAAAAUAUUUUUUUUCUAGCACUAUAAAUAUCAUUGAAGACUCAAAUUUUUGGUGUUCAGAAAGUUUGAAAUCGUGGCACGAUUUUGGAUUAGAAUGUGGAGGAUUUUAUAGAAGAAAAAUUGCGGCACGAUGAACAGAAUCGUAUCACGAUUUUUGGAUAAGGGUGCAAUACAAUAUUGUGUACGAGUUUAAUCAUGGUAUGAUUUAGGCAAACCGUGACACGAUUUUGCCUGUAUUUGAACACAAUAUAAGCAUCUUUUGACCCAUUUGUUGAGUGAGCUCGAUAAUAUAAUGAAAAUCAAAGGAGAUAACUUUUAGGAAACUUUGAAACUAAAGAUUGAGGGUCUUUGUGUGAGAUUCAAAAUGUCCAAUUGUGAAUCUUGGAUAACCUAAAGACGAGGCUCUUAGAAAAGGGUUGGUGCCUUUUGGGGAGAGGUUCACGGGGUUGGAAAACACAUGAGUGGAGAGUCAUCUGUGAGCAACUUGGAUGAAUCUUGGAAAAACAAAACUGAAGAUCCUUAGGAAAUCAAAGGCUAAAGUUUGGUUCUCUUUUGGAAGGUAGAUUAUAGAGCAAGGAAACCUCGUAUUUUUUUUCCUAUUUUAUUUAUUCUUUCAUGUCGAGCUUUCGAAAGCCACUAGGGAGGGAGAAUGAACGAUUGACUGCUAAAGAUCAUGAAUAAAGCAUUGGUAGCUUUGCAACGGAGAAGAACGAUGAUUCUUCCCAAAGGUUUUCCUUACAUGUUGAAGUGAACAGGGGCGGUACCAACUACGACUAGAAAACGGCCACUGAAAACACAUUGGGCGGGUGAAAUCAUUGAGCCUUUUGUACAUGGGAAGAGAUUGGAAAAAAAAAGUAGAAAUUAUGUUUGUUCUAGGAGAGCUUGUUGAAGCUAAUUUCAUGUAACCCUUUUGCAUCUCUUUGUAAAGAACUCAUUGAUAGUGAAGUGGAGAGAUCUCUCUCCCCUAUAGUAGGUCAUUGUUGGACCGAAUUUGGUAAACAAUUAUUUGGUGUUCUCUUUUCUCUACUCACUUUAUCUUGUUUAUUCUUUGACUUGAUUGUAGUUUUUCUUUACACUUGGUUGUUGCUUGUGGUUAUUUUGGUUAUUGAUUGUCAUUGAUUCUUACCCCACACAUCUAAAUUUCAUUGAUAUGAGAAUUAGAGUUACCAAAUUCACAACAAAUAUAAAUAUAUUCUUUAUUUUCUUGUUUCAAAGCGUCUGAUGGUUACUUGCACAUAAAAGUGUAAUGUAGAGAGGUUUUGCGGUUCAAAGUUGUAUCUCAACCUAUUGAGUGUGUGUUUGAAUUAGCUUUUGCAUUGCGAAUAUCACGUCCCGAGAUAAACUGGAUGUAGAAAUCUUGAAGGUACAAAAGUAAACUUUUGUGAAAACGUGAAAAUCCACCGUGAUUCUCUAGAAACCAUUGCUAAACCAAACGAGCACCGAAUGUCCCCCCACUUUUUACCAUUUGAACUAUAUUUAUGAAAUACCAAUUUUCAUUUCAGUCCCUACAAAAUUUCCUUUCAAACAUUUUUGUUUCCCCUUAUUUUCAUAAUGAGACAUGUCUAUAACAGAGGUCCACAUGGCAAGUGUUACCUAAACCAUUUUUAGCAUGUGAAAUUGUUGAGACGAUCAUUUCUAUUGUGUAUAAAUGAGACAAGUGUUGCAUCAUGUAUAAGUUAGUUUUUAUCAUUGAAUCAAUAAAUCUCACUAUUAAAUUAAAUGAUAUAUGAUGUGACUUAUUGAUCAAAUGAUAUAAAUGAUACUUGUGCAUGAUGCAAGACAAUUUUAUUCAUGUAUAUUAGGCAAAACUCGAUGUGACUUAUAAAAAGGUAAAUUCUUAGAUACUCCAAAGUUUAGUUGAGUACUGAUGCUAUGGAGGUAAAAAACUCUUUCAAAAUUUGAUUUUAAUUUUGGAUAAAUUAAUACAAAAAUAUGAUAUGACAUUAAAUAAUUAGAUGAUAUUACAUAUCCGACUAAACUUAAGAGUGGAGUGUGUUCACCUUAAUUAAGUAGUUCAUCUAUGAGUAGUGAUAUAUGUACAAUCAUUUGGAACAACUUUGAUGGUAACUUUCAUUUUCUCUCUUCUUAUUGGUCCAAAACAAUAUGGAGAGAAAAAUGAAGAGAGAGAAUGAGAAUAUAACGUGAGUAUGAGAGAAAAAGUUGUCAAAAAGUUAUAAUAAAAUAGUUGUACAAAUAUCAUUUAUCAACCUAAUUUUAUUAAAUGUAUAUGCAUGUCAAAAAGUAGUAUUGGUGGUGCAUAAAGAUAAAUCCAUGAGCUAUUAUUAAUUACCAGCACUACUAUUAGCGAAAAGCAUUACAUCAGCUGCAACUAAAAUAUCUUCAAUAAUAUUUUCUGUAUACUUUUGAUGUAUUUAUUAUUAUUAUACAGCUGAAUCAAAAUGGGAAAGACAAUGUGACAUGAGUCAAAGUGAUGACUUGGAGUUGCACUUGCAGGAUUGGGAUCUGCGAUUUAUCUGGCAACCACAUUGUAUAAAAAAACUUGCUGAGAUCUUAAACUCUUUAAAACGUGAUCGUUGAUUUUAAUUAAUAUAUACAAAAGUUAAUUGAUUAAUUUUAAAAAAAAUAAUAACUACAUUUUAAAAGUUGUGAUAUUUCUUAUAAAUAAGACCAAUUUUUUUUUUUUUGAAAAUUCUCUUGUAAUAAGGACCCAAGUGUUGGAUGAACCAGAGUUGAGAAAUGUGCUGGCCUUAACGCAUCAAAGAUACUCACGAUUUAUGUUUUUUUUUUGGUCUGAAGAUAUUAUUAGAGAGUUAGUAGGUGUAUGUAUGUCCGAUUUGGAUCCUCUCCAACUAUUUUUCUGAUAUUGUUUGUUCUGUUGUUAUCUAAGUCAUUCAUUCCCCUUUUUUCUCUCUAUCUCUUUAGUACCGUUUCUUGUUCAUCUAUGAACCAAUCAACCCAUUGAAUCAGAAAAGAAGAGAUUACCGUACAAAAAAGAUAGAAGAGGAUCCAAAGCUAUGUAUGUCUUUGUCGUCUUUAUUAAGAUCUUGUCCUAGAUGGACACUCAUUAUUUUCAAUAAUGGAUCAAGUGGACCUUCGACCAUAGAUCUCGUGAAUGAAUCAUAUGAUCGUGAUAUUUGUGUAUGAAUAUCAUAUCUCACGGUCACGAGGUCCAGGGUGCACAAAUAUUGUCCUCAUCUAUCUCUAUAUAAUAAAUCAAAGUCACAUUAAUUCAUUAUAAUUUUAUAAAUAGAGUAAACAUAUUAAUUAGUGUGGUAAGUCAUAUUGUCACACAUAUCAUUAGAUGCAAUUGUAAGUGCAUAGAACAAAUUAAAUCGUAAAAAGAAACCAUAUCCAUGAUGCUAUCUUUUCUUUUUUUUUUACAUGAUUCAUUAGUUCAAAUUUAUAGAGCACAUCGAUAUAAUCAUAUAAUGUAAAUUCGCUAAAAACAAAAAUGAUGAAUCUGUGAAUAGGCUCAGAACAUCCAUGUUAAUAGCAUAAAACGGCAAAGUACAAAUGCCUACACAUAUGACUAUAUUUAAAUCUCCGGAAUAACCAUGUCUCCGGAUCUGCAACGUUGAUGACGCCAAAAUCAUUGAUUGGAUCUACACUGGAUUGAAGCUGAUCUGACAAUCUGAACCGAUCAAAUACCUAAGAGAAACAAAAAAAAAACGUCGCACAAAGACAACGAACAUACCAACGUCGCACGAAGACGACGAAAUCACAAAAUAAAAAAACGAAAUAGAUAUAAAAAUCACUUCUUUCAAUAAAAGGGAAAGAGAAAAACGAACUAGAGGGGUGAUUUUGGGUCAAAAAUUGACCCUAAAUUAUCUCUCUUUGGUAGAUGAAUGAGAAGAAAAAUUAAAAUUUUGGUGACGGUUGACGAGAAAGAAUGUCAUCGCUAUCUUGUCUAGUAUUCUAGUUUUUGUAGAAGUGUAGUGUGGGCUAGCUCUAGUUCCCCCCAUUCUUUAAAACCUUGAUAUGAUUUGUCUAUUUCUUUUUGUUGCUUUCGCAUAUAUAUGAACGGUGGUGUAGCUUCGCCUAAUCAUCACUUUACAAACUAGACCCACUCCAUUCAUUAAAUUAUUAUUAUUAUUAGUUGGCAUUUUAGAUAUUGAUAACGAUAAUAAAAGGGCAAUUAUUCUCUUGAUCUCAAUAAUACUACAUCACAGCAUAAAGCACCGACACUCACUUAUGGCCGAUUUGACACACGUUAUAUGCAAACAGGAAAAAUAGAUGAACUACCUGCACUCUUAAAUUUAGUCAGAUAUGUACUAUCAUUUAAUUAUUUAAUGCCAUAUCAUAUUUUUGUAUUAAUUUAUCUAAAAUUAAAAUCAAAUUUUGAAAGAGUUUUUUACCUCCAUAGCAUCAGUACUCAACUAAACUUUGGAGUAUUUAAGAAUUUACCUUUUUAUAGGUCACAUCGAGCUUUGCCUAAUAUACAUGAAUAAAAUUGUCUUGCAUCAUGCACUUGAUUUAUAAGUCACAGUAGUGAUAUUUGAACAACUCAUUUUAGACAAUUUAUGUGACAACUUUUUUUUUCUCUCUUUUCAUCGAUCAAAAACAAUGGAGAGAGAAAAAGGAAGAGAAAGAAUAAGAGUAUAAUGUGAGUAUGAGAGAGAAAAUUGUCAAAAAGUUGUCACAAAGUGGUUGUACAAAUAUCAUUUCUCUAAGUCCAACAAAACAAGCGAUAUGUCCUCGAUUCCGACACUUGUAUAUGCUAAAACACUGGUGGAAACUUUGAACCAAAAACAUAUAUUUUUAAAGAAGUUAUACUCACCUAUCUAAAUUGGUACUGGAGAGAAUAAAUCUUAUGAGACAUUGAGGAAAUAUAUUAAGUAACAAUUAUAAAUUAUCUUAUAGUUUAUAGGUGUAAAACUAGCUUAUAGUUAUAAGUUAUAACUUAUGGUUGAUAGCUAAAAAAAGGCUAACCGAUUAAAAUUAAAGGGAUUGCUAAAAAUAGUUUUAUAAGUGACUGAUAAAUAUCAAAUAACAUUUGUUUUUGAAGAACUAAUAUUUAACAAAUUAUGUCAAGUUAAACAAAAUUUCAGUCUACUCAUUAUUUGUCAUAUUUUUUUAUAUGGAGCGCUUUUUCGUUAGAUUGCUAGUAGAUACCUAUAUUUAGAGUGUUUAUGUACCUAGCAAUUGUUCACUGAUAUCUAAAACACGUUAAACAAUUGUUGAUUUUUGUGUAGACACUUUUUAAAUCGGUUAAGAAAAUUUAAAAAAUGAUUUAACCACUUAAUUGCCGUUUGGCACAUAACCGGUAAUUUAAUUUUCGUUCAGUCUUUUUUAAGGGUGUCUAAAGAGCAAUUGUCUAACUAGAGCUAUGAGUUAUGAAAAAUGAGGCAAGCCUCCAGCUCAAUUUGUUGGAGCCUCUAACCCAAGAGAAAACAUGAACUAAAAUAAGAAAAAUAUACCAUAAUUUCUUUUCACACCCUUCUUGUUUCUUGCGCGCCCUUCACUUUUUUAAUUUUACCUAGUAUAUAAUUUGAAACAUUUUUUAUCCCAUUGGCCAACAUGAUAUGUACCAGGAGCGGGUGCUGGUGCAUCUGGCACCUUAGCAUAAGCAACCUGAUGCUCCUCUGCCUCCUCCUCAUUUUAGGGGUUCUUCUGCCUCCUCCUCACACAGAGGAUCUACAUGCUCAAGCUCAAGCUCUGCCGCCUAAGACGAUCCAGAUCCAUCACACCUACCAUUUCUAACUCGCUCAUUCUGAACCAUCCGGUCUCGAUUCGCCGAGCUAGUCAUGGUCAUCAAGUUGUCUCUAACACGAUUGAGACGUGCCUCCAUAUCUGAAAGCAAUCCAAAUCAAUAUAUUCAACAAAAUUCCGAGACAAAUCAACAUUCAACAGUCCUAAUCCUAUUUAUGACCGUAUAAUAUGAAUUCCUUAAUAAUUUAUUUCGAAUUAUAUAAUCUGAAUCAAACCAACGCCCAGAAAAAAUUAGACAACUUAAAGAAAAAUUACAUGAUAAAUGUGAGUUAACCUUUUGUUUAGUUAUUAAAAAGGGUUGAAAUGAAAUAUAAUUGAGCAACUUCACUUCAAGAAUGGCAUAAUGUGUCAGGGUUCGGAUUUUGAGUGGUUUGAUAGUAGUCUCGGUCUAAAUUCGUAACCGUUGAAAUGAAAAAAAAGGUUCUUUGUCUUAAAUAUAUAUAUAUAUAUGGGAUGUUUCGGCUAUUAUUAUCCAAACGAAGACAAAACUAAAAGUUUGAAAGGCGCGUGAGAAAGACGGAAACCGAAAAAAUAUAUUCUCAAAAUAUAGAGAUCUUCCAUCUAGUCCUCCUACCCUACAAAUCCACUUAAAUAAGGAAAUCAUACCUUUUUAAAUUUUGAAUUUUCACUCUUUCCAAAAUCCGGAUUUUUUUCUUUUACAAAAGAAAAAGAGAAAGUGCGAAAUCUAGAAUAUGUUUGUUUUGAACAUUUUAUUCUAAAAAAACAUUUAUUUUUAAAUGAAAUAUCCAAAUCACGAUCAAGUUUUAGAUUUUUCAAAAGAUAGAAAAUUCAUUUUUCAAUUGUUUUGUUAGUGUCGAUCGGUUGAUGUUGCAUCAGUCGAUAACCCAUAAUUUGUACAACCAUUUUGAUAACAAUUUUUAUAACCAUUUUGAUAAUAAUUCUUGGGAUAAUCUAAAUUUUUUUGGACAAAAACAAUACAUAGAGUAUAAUACAAUAAAACAACGCAACAAGAUGAGAAAUCAGACAAUGCCGCACAAGACAAAGAGCAAUGCAACUCCGCGCUUAAACGAUGAAAUCACGAAGAAAAAAUCCUAAACAAUGUGAAAAUUACUUAUUUAGAUUGAAAUGGGAAAGAAAAAAAAAAUUGAAGAUGGAUGAUUUCAAGUAAAAAUUGACUCAAAGCCACCCCUCAAUAAAGAAAAUAGAAGAGAGAACCGGAGAAAGUAAGCUAGAGCCGACUUCUUAAAGAGAGAAAUGUCGGCUAAAUAUUUUUAGGGUAGUGUUAAAGGGCACAUGUUAAGAAACCUAAAAGAGUAAAUAUUCUAUAAAAUUUUGUGCAUUUAAAUGAUUAAAAAGUUAAAUAUUGAAUGCAAUGCACAUAUUUCAAUAAAAAUUUUCUAUAUUUGAAUCAUUAACUUGUGUCUUGAGGGCACAAAUUAACAUUUCCUAUAUUUUUAAUACGCUUUUAACGCAAGUUAUUCUAUUAGUUGAAAGUCAGUAAUCCCACAAAAAAUUAUGCAGCACUCACAUGAUAUAUGACUUAUUUGAAUUUCAAUUAAUAAGAUAGUAUGUUACUAGCACUCAUUUUAGAGUAAUAUAAAGUAUAAACUCCUCACGCUUGCUUACAUUUUGUAGUGUCUACAAAGCAUAAACUCUAACUUGGUUACUAGGAAAGCUUGAAAUGAUAAAUUUGGAGGUUAUCAACAUUGGAUUUAAUAAAAUUAUUUUGCAUUCUGGCAGUUCGAAAUUUUCCCCAGUUGAUUUUUGAAUAUUUGGGAGGAUUCUUAUCGUUUGUCAACUCUUCUAAGGGCUCAACAUCAGUGUAGAGUGCUGGUUUUAGAAAGAACGGAAUGGAAAACCUAUCCUUCUCAGAGUUCACCAUUACCCUGUGCUCUACACUCUCAUAAGCAUCAUUGCUCCAAACCUGCAUUACUUUGGUUCUAUAUCAAUCUUGUUUAAACACACACUCUAACAUACAAUUUAAAAUGUAUGAAUAAUCAUGUAUGAAAAAAGAGAAAUGCUAGUAACACACAUUUUUCAACACACUCGUUUUGAUCGGUUAAAAUUCACAUGAGAUCCACAUGAUUUAGUAGGACCCAUGUGAAUUUUAACCAUCAAAGAGGGUAUGUUGAAAAGUAUCUGUUGCUAAAAAAAAAAUAUGUUGAUCCUAUAUAGUAUAUGAGUAUAUGACUAAUUUAACAAUUAAAAUAAGAUGGUGAGAAAAAUAAUGAAGGGUUUGGUACCUGAAUCAUAUCACCAACAUUAAUAAUGAAGGAAUUGAAAAUGGGCUUAACUUGAAUCCACUCUCCAUCUGAUUUUCUCUUAACUUGCAAACCACCAACAUCAUCUUGAGCAAGCACAGUUAAGACACCAGUGUCCUUGUGACGUCCGAGACCAAGAGCCAGAUGAGGGUAGGGACAAGGUGGAUAAUGGUUGAGUCUUAUAUUGCUGGUGUUAUGUAUAAAGAAGUCACGGAACCUAUUUGGUACUAAACCCAAACUCAUUGCAAUAAGUUCCAUCAAUUUAUAUGCUAGUUUUUCUACUUCUUCUGCAUAUUCUUGGCAUGCUUCCCUGUUAAUAUUAGAUAAAGAUUUUGCAUAGUUUUUUUAGGCCAAAUUUAUGAGAUUGAGUUAAGCCAAAAAAAACUAAGAUUAGAAAACAUAGCUAAAAAUAAAAUUGUGAGUGUAUUGAGAUACCUAAACUCAGGAGGAUUCUUAGGCCACCGAUUUUCCCAUUGGAACUGAAAAGAAGGUGGUAUAAAAGUUGGUUGUUGCACAUUAAAAUCAUAAAUUUCCUUCCAGUCCCUAACAUUUUUUGUAUGCUCUGCUUCAAAAUAUCCAAGCAAGUUAACUUCAUCUCUUCUCACUUUAACCUUCUCUUCCAAACUAAGUUCAAAAAAUUUGUUUGCAGAUUCUUCAAUUCUCUCACGUUUAUCCAAAGGCACUUUGUGAUUAAUAACUUGAAAGAAACCCCAUUCUUUACAUGCUUGACCAAUUUCUUUGACCAAGUUUUCGAUGGAAAGUGAGUUGGUUUCAUCAUCUUGGUAGUUUAUGGGAGAGAGAUCAAUUAGAGGGAUGCUUUCAGCAAUGAUUAUGGAAGAUUUUGGUCUGUGUUCUGGAGAUUGAAUGAAAUGUGAACUUGGUUCUAUUUCUAUAUCUCCCAUGAUUGUUUGAUCCUGUGAUGUUGGAGACAGAAUGUUUAAUCUGAUGCAAGUGCAAGUACAAUUCAAGAUUGAGAAUUAUAUCCAAAAUAAUAUAAAUUCAAGACUAUGAAACAUCAUGUACUUACACCAAAAAAAGGGGAGAUCGAGUAAAAUGAACCAGGACGGGAUUCAAUUCAGGAUUCUGUUUUUCUUACGUUAAUAUUUUUUUUUUUUUUUUACCACUUUAAUUAAUUUAAAGUAUUUGCAUACAGGAAAUUCUUACAUGGUCAUAACCCUAAAUGAAAAAUAUUCGAACACACUUACAUCAAAUGAAAAAGUUAAAACAAAAAUAAUAUAAUCACAUCAAUCAACAUCAUUUAGUUUUACUCUCAUUUUUUGUUUUUUAGGCUAAAUAUGUCAUUGGUUCUUGCAGUUUCACCAAAUUUUGGCAUUAUCCCUGCACUUUUUUUGUUUGGCAUUAGUCCCUACAUUUUGUAAAAGUUUUGGCUUUGGUCCUUAUGUUAAGUCCAAGUUAAAAAAAAGGCUUAAUUGAUCUGCCGGUCCCUUAAUUUAUUUCUUUUAUUCAAUUUGGUCUCAUAAGUCUUAACUUUCUCAAACACAUCACUUAACUCGUCUGCUAUUAAUUAACGUGGUCCCCUCAAAAUAAUGAUCGUUGGAUGAGGGAGAUCUAUCAGAGCUUACAGUGUAUCACCAACAUUUGAUUUAUUUACAUUCUUCAUCUUCUUCCCCAUCUUCAUCUUCAUUCAUCUUUCAUAAUCUUUAUAAAAUAAAAUAAAAAAUUCAACUUUUUUUCUUUUAAAAAUUUACAAACUCAAUAAUUAACACCACCACCAUCUUCCAAAUAAGAAUCAAAACUAAAUUAAAUUGGUUAUAAAUUUUGUUUCCAAAUUAUAAAAAUUAAAAACUCAAAUUUAUGUAAAACCUUUUUUUUUUUUUUUGUACGGUUGCUUUCAAAUUAAUCCACUUACUAAAACCCAGAUUUUAACAAUUGUAAUUGCUUCUUACUAAAUCCCAUAUUAUUUUUACAAUUGCUUUUUCAAAUUAAUCCAAAAAGAACCCAUCUUUCAUCCUUCAAAAUCAAAACUCAUCCUUUAUCAUAAUAAAUUUAGAGCAAUAGAACAUAUAUUUUACUAUCAUUUAUGGUAUCAUAUUUGCCUUUUAUUUAACAACUUUCCAUCGAUCCUCAUGGCCGCUGAUACACCCUCUGAAACCAAAGAAAUUUUUUAAUUAAACACCAGUACCCAACUCCCUAUCAAAUUAAACUCCACAAACAGUUUCACUCUCUUCUUAUUGCUCGCGAUCUUGAAGGGUACGUGACUGGAACAACACCAGAGAGAGAAAUAAACCAGAUAUAGCUUGAGAGAGAGAGAGGAAUGAGUUUUAAUUUUUUAUUUUAAUGAAUUUUUAUGUGUUUUGGAUAAUGGGUAAUGGAUUUUUAGGCUUGAGUCUCCGAAUGGAAAAAAAGAUGAUGCGAUGUAAAAAGAUGAAGAAGAGUAGGAAUUGAAGAUCUGGUUUUUGAAUUUAUUGAAAGAUUUAAAGUUGAUAGCUGAGAAGGAACACGAUCAACGCAAAUACUUUAUGGAACAAACAUUCGAUGAACAGUAACCUGGUUUUGGUGUUGUUGUUGUGCGUCAGUAUCGAUUUGAUUUAGCGUUUGGAUUUUGUUAUUGAUAUGGAUUCAAUGUUUGAUUUGGAUUCCAAUUUUGUUAUUGAUUUUGAUUUGGAUUCUUCAUCUUUGUUAUUCAUGAUUAUUCUUUGUGUGAACAAUAACCUCUGUUUCAAACGUAAAAAAAAAAAAAAAAAAAAAAAAAACCUUUGUUUCAUGAUUCUUUAUCUUUGAUUUAGAUUUUGGGUUUUUUCCAAUUUUUUUAUGGGCUUUUUAAAGUUGGGUUUUUUAUUUUAUAAAGAUGGUGAAGGAUGAAUGAAGAUGAAGAUGGAGAAGAACAUGAAGAAAGUAAAUAAAUCAAGUGUUGGUGAUACACUAUAAGAUCUGAUAGAUCUCCCUUAUCCAACGUUCUCUAUUUUGAGGGGACCACGUUGAUUAAUGACAAAUGAGUUAAGGGAUGUGUUUGAGAAAGUUAAGAUUUAUGGGACCAAAUUGAAUAAAAGAAAUAAGUUAAGGGACCGACAGAUCAAUUAAGCCUAAUAAAAAAAAAUAGCAAAAGUAACGGUGUGCCACAUGGAUCAAUCAUUCCAUGCCACAUGGCACUUUCAACAUUAUCAUUAGUCUUUGCACUUUCAACAUUUUUUUUAUACUAGUCCAUGCAUUUUGACAUUGAUGCCUCACUUUUUUUCUUAACAAUAGAUGAAAAUUAACAAAGUAGAUGGAAAUUAAAUUGCACAUUGACGAUACUUGUAAUUAUACAUUCUUAUAAGUGUAAUCAUGUGAAUUUUGACGGAGGAAACCCCAAAAAUAAAUAAAAUGCUCAUGCAGCGACUACCUCGAAUGCACCUGCAACCACCGCUUCAGAUGCACCUGUUGCACAUGUUAUUAAAUUAUGCAUAAUGCUGCUUUAAAUUACCAUGAUUAGGCAUAUAAGAAUGUAUAGUUACGUAUUGCCAACAAUUUAAUUUUCAUCUACUUUGUUAAUUUUUAUCUAUUGUCAUGGUGUUAAUGUUUGUGAUGCUGAAUCCAGAAGUCCUAGCUCAAUUGGUAAAAUGUCAAAAUUGUUAGGGCAAUGACAUAAUCAGGGUUUGAACCAUGGUACCUCUACUUAUGUAUGAGAGUUUAUAAUGGCUUUGUCAUUUCGUCUAUCUACUAAAAAAAAUGUUUGUGAUGGUGAAUGUUAGAGAAAGAAAAUAUGUGAUACAAUUAAGGUUUAAUCAUUCUUAAAAAAAGACUAUUUUUUCAUUUUUUAUAAUUAUACUCAAUAAAAAUAAUGAAAAAAUAAUAAUAAACCAUAAUAAUAUCAUUGAAAAUAUUUAUAAAAUAAAGUUCACGGAUCAAUACGAAAGUGUAUGGAUUAAUAUAAAAAAUUUUGAAAGUGCAAAAAAUAAUGAAUAAAAUAAUAAUUAAAAAAUUAGAUUUUUUUGUCUUUUAGUUUCUCCAUCCCAUAUUUACCAAAAUAUCAGCAUAUUUUUUUCUUCUCAAUGCACAUGAGAUAUUUUGACAUUCCACGUAUUAUCCAAGAGAGAUUUGAUCUUCUUAAUGAUGUUUCAAGCAGUUGCAUUUCCUAUAUUUUCUCCGUUCAAGCUCACACCACCACUUCCGAGUCAAGAUCAAGUUGAACUUCCAAAUUCACAAUAUCACAUCUUCUCGCUAUAUGCAUAACCUUUCGUAUAAACCCUAAAGCUCCACCAUGUAAGUUGUAGUAGUCCCAAGAUUUCUUGAAAAACUAGAAAUCUACAUGCCGUUAUCAUCGCACACUAAUCCCCUACAACGUGCUAAACCAGCCAUGACUUGGACCCUUCCAAGAGAUAUUAAAAAUAAGGAAAAUGUUAAUAAGUAUCUUUAGUAACUUUAAAUAAUACUUCCUCCAUUUUAAAAUGAGUGUCGUUUUAGUCAAAAAAAUUUGUUUUAAAAUGAAUGUCGCUUUACAUUUUCAAUGCAACUUUAAUUUUUUUCUUCCAACUUUACCCUCAAUAAAUACUCAAACUUUUCUCUCUCACACAAUUUUCAAUACAACUUUAAGUUUGUAUUUUUCUUAUAAAGUAAGGUUAUUUUAGUAAAAUUGUUAUGACAUUUGACUACUUUAUUCAAUUUCUUAAUCUGUGUGCAAUUGGCUAAAGCGACACUCAUUUUGAAACGGAGGAAGUAAAUUUUUGUCAAAGUUUAUGAAAUCAAUGCAUUGAAAAUUGUAAUUUUGACUUUUUUAAAAAAUAAUUUCUUUAUUAGAAAUCCUUAAAAAGUGUUCUUAGGACACUCCUUAAUAAGACCUUAGAAAUAACUCUCCUUUCUUAAUUUUACAAGAAAUUACAAGAAAUAAAAACCAACGUUUAUUAGGAUCAACCAAAUGUAUCAAACUAACAAUGCAAUAAGAUAAAAUUGUCUAUUGCCACUUAUCACAAUGAGUGCAACAAGUAUUUCCUAAAUUCCACUUGGCCAUUUGAAAAUUAGUUAACAAGCUGUCACUUCUAAUUGACCAAGCAAAAAUCAAAUUGGAUUCUCUUCUUCACUCUCAUGUACAUUUCACCUAACUCUUCUUACCCUCUCUCUUCCUCUUGAUUAUUUUUAAGUUUUUUUUAUUGAAGAGAUAUUAAAAUUAAGAGAGAUAGAGAGCUACGAGAGAGAUGUAGAGGAGAAUUAAGAAGAGGAUUCGAAUCCUAUAAAAUUGAGAUUCAUAUUAGUGUCGUAUAAAUAAGACUCAUAUUGCAUUGUAAAAUACAAUUGAAGAGAGUAAAACAAACUAUAUUCUUCUCUCUUUCUCUUCUUCAUCUCUAUUCAUCAUUAUCUUCCUCUUCUUUUGACACAUUUAAUCUACUUAUGCUUAAAUAUCAAUCAAGGAAUAAAAUGUUACAAAUAAGAUAAAGGAAAUGGAAGGGUAUUUGCCUCACUUCAACGUGAACAGAGUGGAGUUGAAAUUGUUCGUUCCUUCCAAAUUUCAAGAUAAAGUAUCGUACAAGUUAAAAUUAAACAAAUGAAGAUUAAAGAAAUACUUUACUCUAGUAAUAAAAUGGGGAAGGCUAAAUAUUUUACUCUAGUAAUAAAAAAAUACUCCAUAAUAAUUGAUUAAAAAAAACCUUCUAUAACAUAUUAUACCAACUUUAAGCUAUCUUAAAGUGAUGAAUUUGGAUAUUCUCCACAUUUUUCUUUUUUAAAGUGUCGCUCUUUUUAUUGAUAAGAAACUUGCCCCAAUUGAAAGGUUUAUAUUUUGGAGGGUUUUCGUCAUUUAUGAGUUCAUCCAAAGGCUUGACUUCAAUGUAGUGUGCUGGGAAAACACCGAAGGCAAUUGAAAACCUUUCUUUCUCAAAGUUGACUAUAACUCUAUGUUCCACACUCUCAUACUCAUCAUUGCUCCAAACCUUCGCAAACAAAAUAAUUUCAAUCGUCAAAUAAAAUUAUAGGUUAAAUAUGUUUUUAAUCCCAACAAUAUAUUUUGUAGUCGGCCAACUCAUGCGUAUCCUAAGUAGCAUAAAAAAAAAAACUAAAUAUAAUGAAUUAGGGCAAAAGUACCUGAGUGAGAUCACCAACGUUGAUGAUGAAAGCAUUUGGGGUGGGUUUCACAAGAACCCAUUCUUGUGAAAUUUGAUGCUUCACUUCAAGACCAGCAACCUCAUCUUGGGCAAGAAUAGUUAAGGCACCAGCAUCCUUGUGUCUUCCCAUGCCAAGAGCUAGCUCAGGAGAAGGACAUGGAGGAUAGUGAUUGAUUCUAAACACGCUAGUUGUAUCCUUGAAGAAUUCUUCAAACCUCAUUGCUUCAAGCCCUAAGCUCAAAGCUAUUAACUCCAGCAACUUAGAGGCCAAAUUUUCCAUCUCCUUAAUAUACUCUUCAAUUAUAUUCCUGCUCAUGUUGACAUUAAUUUUAAACAUAACCAAUUAAAUUGAGAGUCAUUCCAUGGUUAAAAGAGUGUUUGCAACGUGGUUCCAAUCGAGUUUGAGAUAAAAAAACAAUCUAGUACAAAAACUAAACGCAAUUUAAUUUGGAUUGAUUUUUAGUUAUCGAAAUUACAAUUAUAAAAAUCUAUUAUAAUGCAACCAUAAACAAGUUUAAUACAAAAUAUAACAGACAAUAUACUAAAAAUUAAUAUUAUAAAAUAGCUAGCAAUGAAUUAUUUUUGGAAAGGAUAAAAUAACAAUAAUGAUAUAUUGAUUAGGUCUAAAACAUGAAAUAGUAAGUAUAAAUUAAAUUAAAAUAAUAACUAUUAAUUUUUUUUUUGAAGAAAUAAUAACUAUUAUUACAUAAUGGCAUCCAAUAGUACUGGUUUAUAAUAUUAACAAAUAAUAUAUUAAUGCAAUAACUAAUACUAGUAAAAAUUAAAUAAGUAUUAAAAUUUAUCUAUGUAGUUUGAUUUAGGUUUAGAAAAAAAUGAAAUUUGAAUCUUCGUGGUUUUCACAAAAUGGCAUCCAAUAGUACUGGUUUAUGUGGUUUUUAAUUUUUUAGAUCACUUUGAAAUUUUAAGUUGGAUGGAUUUGAAUUUUAACACUUAAAUAUCCUAAAUGACCCAAUGAAACUUCCCUUCUCAAAUAAAAUUGUUCACUAAUUUUUUUUUUUAAGGUAUAUAUUCUACCUGAAUUUUGGAGGAUACUUAGGGGACGGAUUAGACCAUUGAAUAACUUGAUCAUCAUUUUCAUCACAAUUCAGAGGAACCAAAGUGGGAUCUCUGGCGAAAAAAUCAAACACUUCUAUCCAGUUUCUUACAUUCUUGGUGUGCUCUUUAUCAAAAUAACCAAUUGGUGUGAUCUCAUCUCUGGCAACCUUCAUUUUCUCCUCCAAACUUUGAGCAAAGAACAAUCUAGCAGCUUCAUCAAGUCUUUGCCUAAUACUCAAAGGGACCUCAUGGUUUGUAACUUGAAAGAAGCCCCAUUCCUUGCAUGCACUUCCAAUCUUCUUCACCAAGCUAUCAAUAGCAGAUUGAUCUUGAACUUCAUGGUGGAAUAUUGGUGAGAGGUCAAUUUCGGGAAUUCCUUCGGCUUCAAUGAUGGAUAGUUUUGGUCUGUGUUCUUGCUCUUGAACAAAUGCUAAGUCCAAUUCUCCCAUGGUUGCUCUGCUGCUAGAAGGUGUAAGCUGAUGUAUGUUGAAGGUGGUUUCUUGUGUUUCCCUUAUUCAAUUCAAAAUUGGUCCUUACUAUUACUAGUCCUUCCUUUAUUAUUAAAUUUUGUAAACAGAAGAACAUGUGGCACAUGAUAGGUAUUUUAAAGAUUUGAUUUUAAUUUCUUAUUCAAGAAUGAGCUGGCGGCUUGACUCCAUUUAUUCAUUUAUGACUUAACCGAUCCAAGACCUAAAGUUUUUCAUGUAUUAACCAAGCUAUUGAGCUCUAGAGUUACACCAAGGACAAAUUGCGUAGUAUAAAUUAGAGAUCAAAUAAAUGAGAAUAAACGAGAUAUGGAUCAAGUAAACUUAUCAAUCCUCAAAAUUGUGAUAAUUUGAUGUUGGCGACCCCAAAGUAAACAAUCAUAAAAUCAUGAAUGGUGAUAAACCACAAAACAGACCGUGAAAUAAAAGUAUAAAACAUUAUGGAUAAACAUAAAGAAAUAAAACACUCAAUGAAGAGAUAAAUAGGCAUGAAUUCGUCAAAUAGGGUGGCUCCUAUUAAUAUUAAGCAAGUAAGGCAUGUGAAUAAAUAACAAACGUGAUGUAAACAUGAGGUAAUAGGGCGUGGUCAAAUAAACACUAGGAAAUACUAUAACUUUAAAUAUACUCUCAAUAACAAUGAGUCAUGCAGAUAUUCAAAGGGAAAUUGGUUUGUUGGUGAUUUCCAAAAAUUAUGGAAUCAUUUUAGAACCAAAAGUUGUAACUCUCUGUGAGAAUCUUUCAUAUAUAUUGGAACCUUUGGCAAAAGGCUUAAUGAACUAUAACAUUGAUUCAAGUCAAAUGAGUGUUUUCUCUAAUGUGAAGGGUCAUAUAAUGCACUAUAAAUGCUUGACAUUUGGCCAUUAAUUUGACACUAAGAAACAAGAAUUUUGUUGCAUUAACAUCAUAAUUCUCCCUCAUUCUCUUACUCUAAAUCAUCCAUCAAUUUUCUAAUGCAUGAGUGAAUUGUUGAAACCAUAAAUCUGUAAAAUAUGGUUAGGAGAUAUGUUUGGUGUGGUUGUGCAAUACACCUCAUGAAACUCAUAGUAUCCUGAAGGAGAUUUGCUGGUCAUUCCUUUUGCAUCCAAUAUACAAUUUGGUGGGUGGGCACGACAACCCUAUGCACUUUGAGUUUUACAUGCAUAACCAUUAAACUUUUAAGGUUUCAAGUGCAGCAGUCUCUUCCCAACAAUCAAGAUAUAUAACAUGGUUAGCAUAUGGAACCGAUCAACACAUGAAUAUGGAACCUGAACUUUAGAUUAUCAAAGCCCUUCUUCAGCGAAAAUCAGAGUAGGGUUAAAAAAAAAAAACUAGUUGGAGAUUCCAAAUUUGUUCCAUUUGUCUACUCUUCCAACUUUCUCCUUCAAGCAAAGAAUAAUCUUGAAGCUUCCUCAACUCUCUACCUAAGACAAUAAUUUUGUAAAUAUGUCUGUCAUUAUGGACGAGGAACUAUAAUAUAUCAUUGUUUUUGCAAAUAACUUGAAAGAUUAUCAUAUCUAGAUUGCUAGAUCAUUUAUUGUUGUUUUAGAUAUUUAUAUAACAUUGGGUUAAAUAUGUUUCUAAUAAUUACAUUUUGCGUCCCUUUGAAGAAUAGUCCCUAUAUUUUAUUAAACGUUUUUAAAAUUCUCAUAUUUUAUCUUCGUUAUCAAAGUUAGUCUAUGUUGUUAAUUCUCUAACGGGAUGCUAAUGUGGUGGUUAAUGGGUCCCAAUUAUUUUAUGGUUAGAUAUGUUUUUUGGUCCAUACAUUUUGCGUGACUUUGAAUAGUAGUCCUUAUAUUUUGGGACCCGUUAACUGUCACAUCAGCAUUCCGUUGGAGAAUUAACAGCUUGGACUAAUUUUGAUAACAGAGAUAAAAUGUGAGGAUUUUAAAAAUAUUUAAUGAAAUGUAGGGACUAUUCUUCAAAUUGGUGCAAAAUGUAAGGGCUGAAAACAUAUUUAACUCUAUGAGUAAUGCUGGCAACACUCUCUUCUGAACACAAUCUCUAAUACUCACUCUUUUAUUGGUUUAAACCAUUGUGAGUCCACACUUUGAAAAUUGAACACACACAAAGUGGUGGGAUAUACAUUGAUCUCAUCCAAUAGAAGAGUGAGUGCUAGAGAGAGUUUUGAAAAGUGAAUGUUGCUACCAUUCCUCUUAACCCUAUAAUAUUUACUUAUUUGAGAUGGUUUGGAUGUAUGUUCAUUAUUUUGAAUUUGAACGUUCAGUUAGUUUUUUUUAACACUAAUAUGGUUGAGUUAGUUAAAUACUUUAGUGAAUUAGUGCUUUGUUCAAUCACUUCCUUAUCAUUGAAGAAUCCUUAGUUUUUUUUUUUCGGAAAAUAGGAAUGGAUAUGUUUGCUUGUUCCAGAAAAUUUUCAUUGAAAUUUGGAAGAUAGAUAAAUGAAUCCAAAUGGUUGCAAACAAUGUACUUAGUUCAUUGGUUUCUGAUUCAGCACCAAAAAGUCUUUGGAUGAAAGCUCCAGAGUAUGAUUUUGGACGGCUGGUAUCGCAAAUCGUUAAAUUAUGCAUACGUGUCAAUUACAAUUUGCAUCACUUCAACAUCAUGAACACAGUGGGGUGCAAAUUGUUUGUUCCUUCCAAGACAAGAUAACGCCUUUGUUAUUUCCACAAAUUCCAGUUCAGUUGGGAAAAAUACCAACAAAAAAAAAAAGUCAGUAACAAUUUGACCCGUUUUAAUUUUCAGUAUGUUUACAUCUUAUUUUUCUGUGUGUAUCACAUGUUGCGCGAAAUCUAUUUAACCCUUUAAAAUGUAAAAAGUAGAUUAUUUAUUUAUUUAACAAGAAAAAUAUAUUUAAAAAGUGUUUCGAUAUAGAGUAUAAAUCUUGAUUUGCCUCACUUCAACAUCAUGAACAGAGUGGAGUGGAAAUUGUUCGUUCCUUCAAAUAUAAAGUCUUGACGGUGGAGAAAGCUAACUAUUUCUUAUUGUAACACUAAAGAAAUACGUAAUAGCUAUGGACAAUAAUCUAAUCAAGUUUUGAGAUGAAAAUGAUUUUUUUUAGGGGGGGGAUAUAGUUGCAUACAUAAUUAUUCCACAUACACACUAGUAAGUUUCAUUUGUAGUCACGCAUAUGAAACACUGUUUGGAUCAAUGUGCUGCAACAUAUUAUUCAAUUUAUUUCCAUACACAAGCUAUGUGAAACUUGAAUUACACUAUCUUUAUUUAAGCUAUCUUAUAAUGAUAAAUUUGAAUGUUCUCCACCUUUUUCUUCUCGAAAUUGCUACUCUUUCUGUUGACAAGAAACUUUCCCCAAUUGUAUGGUCUGUAUUUUGGAGGGUUUUCCUCAUUUGUCAGCUCCUCGAGAGGUUUGACUACAGUGUCGUGUGCAGGGAAGAAAAAGAAGGGGAUUGAAAACCUUUCUUUCUCAGAGUUAACCAUCACUCUGUGUUCCACACUUUCAUAAGCAUCAUUGCUCCAAACCUGCACAAACAAAACAACUCCAAUAAUCAAACAAAAAUAUCUAGAUACAUUAUAACUGGAAGAUGUCAGUAUGUUAGAUACUUCGACACAUGUGGUACAUUAUUACCGGUGUCAAUGUCAGUGUUGUGUUUAGUUUGAUGUCCGAAUUUCAUAGGCCCAAAGUACCUGAAUGAUAUCACCAACAUUGAUAAUGUAAGCAUCUGGGGUAGGUUUCACAAGAACCCAUUGUUGGUCUGAUUUACGCUUCACUUCAAGUCCUCCAACCUCAUCUUGGGCAAGAAUAGUUAAGGCACCAGCAUCCUUGUGUCGUCCAACUCCAAGUGCUAGGUGAGGGUAAGGGCAUGGAGGAUAGUGGUUGAAUCUAAUAAAGCUAGUUUGAUACUUGAAGAAUUCUUCAAACCUCUUUGCUUCAAGUCCUAAGCUUAGAGCUAUUAGCUCCAGCAACCUAUAUGCCAGCUUUUCCACCUCUUGAAUAUACUCUUCAAGUAUAGCCCUGCUCAUGUAGACAUCAAUUUUAAACACAACCCAUUAAAUUGAGCAUCAAUCUACCUUUGAAUAUUCUAAAUGACCAAAAGAAAAUGAAAAGUUCGUUUUUCAAAUGAAAUUAUUCACUAUUUAUAUUAAUUAUCAAUCUUACAAUUUGGGUUUUGAAUAACUCAACCAUAAAAUCGGUUGUAAGGUGAGAAAUGUUCACCUAUACACUUGAGUCACGCACGCACCUCCACACGAGACAUGCGUGCCCAAAGUGACCCAAUAAGGAUUUGGAUCCUCUACUGUUGGAUUUGGAUCCUCUACUGUUGCGUGUUGCAAUUGUAGGGACCGUUAGAUUUAGAGAAAGAAAUUAUAUAAUUGUUUUCUCUCUAAAUCUAACGCCGUCGCAAUCACAAAUGUAAAGAUCCAAACAUGACCAAAUAAGUAAUAACAAAGAAUGAUCCAAAGUAUUUAAGGUAGACUCUCACAUUAUCAUAAAAUUUAGAUUGAGUCUAACUCAAAUCCACAAAUUCAACUUAGACGGUGUUGAAUACUCACCACUUAUGAACAAAUUUUGGGUCUAUCACGUCCAAUCUGUUAACUUCUAUCUAAUUCAUACAUAACUGUCAUAUUUAUAGAGAUCAAUUGCAACAAAUUCCUAAGUCCUAACUACUGGACAUAAUUAUUUACUAUCAACCAGUGGCGGUGCCACAUAUAAAUGCACUUGCAUCCCCUGAGCUUUUAAAAUUUGCACAUGAUUGCACUGUUUUAUUAGUGCUUGAACCUCCUGAUAUUUUAAGGAUGAACCUUCUCAUAUUUUAACAUUGCAAUUGAGCCAAACAUUUUGCACCAAUAACCCAAGUUUCUCUCACCCUAUGAAUGACACGAGUCUCACUUUUAUGUUAGCACAACAGUAUUUGCCUCAACUAGAGAUAAUUGACUUCCUUUUUUAUAUAACUCUAUUUUUUAAAAACCCAACUCUCUAUUUGGUUUUUCCUAUUACAUUUGUUUUCUUUUAUUUUCUUAUUAAUAAUUGUAAUUAUAAUAAUUGAAUUCCUUCUAAAGUAAAAAUGAAGUGUUUGAAGAUAGAACACAAAUCCUAAAAGUCUUUUAAGAAGCUUUUACCACUAAAUCAAGUAUGUCGCAGAGUUUAAUUCUUGCAAAUAUAAUAUAUAUUACUAAAUAUUUUAUAUUCUUUCAUAACUUAAUACUCCCACCAUCCUAAAUUUUAACACGAAAAGUUCACUUUCUUUGUCCCAAAUUUAUAAAUAAAAUUGACAAAUGUUUACCCUAUUUAAUCAAGUUGGUUUCAAAUGUCAUCUUUUCCAAAUAAAAUAAAAUAAAUCUUACUUAUUCUCAAUUUUCAUGAACUCAAAUGCAAGGUGUACCCAAAUUACUCUCCCUCACAUUUUUUUUCUGUAACCAAUAACUUAUGUAAUUUUUUUUUUUGAACAAGAAUAACUUAUGUAAAUUAUUUUUACUUCUUUCCAUGAAACAUAUUUCAACACAAAAUGUUAUACACCAAAUUAUUAUGCUUUAGAAUUAUAAAUUUAUAAUUUACACAAAUUCUAACUUUCAUUUGAUAGAUUUUGAAAUUUAUAAUUUAUACAAAAUAUGGAAAAUAUAAAAAAUAAUAAUUAAACAUUUAUGCAAAAAAAAUAGAUAUUUGAUUGGAAAAAAAUGACGAAAAUUAUAAAUUUAGUAGUAUAAAUAAAUGAUAAUUAAAAGAAAAAAUAAUUGCACAAAACUUUCAUAGCUCUGGUAAAGUUGAAAGGUAUGAACCCCCUACUUCAAGAUCCUGGCUACGCCACUGCUAUCAACACAACCCAACAUGAGACUUUCAACGAUCAAUGAAUAAUAUAUUAGUAUGAAUCAACUACCUGAAUUGUGGAGGAUAUUGAGGUGAUUGAUUAGUCCAUUGAAUAACACCAUCAUCAUGUUCAUCAGAACUCCGAGGAACUAAUGUAGGAUCUUGAGAAAGAAAAUCAAACACUUCUUUCCAGUCUCUAACAUUUUUGGUAUGCUCUGUAUCAUAAUAACCAGUAGGAUUGACCUCAUCUCUAGCAACCUUCUUCUUCUCCUCCAAACUCUGAGCAAAGAACAAUCUAGAAGCUUCCUCAAGUCUCUGCCUUAGACUCAAAGGGACUCCAUGGUUUGUGACUUGAAAGAAACCCCACUCCUUGCUUGCACUUCCAAUCUCCUUCACCAAGUUUUCAAUAUCAGAUGGAUUUGGAACUGCAUGGUGAAGAAUUGGAGAGAGGUCAAUUUCGGGAAUUCCUUUGGCUUCGAUGAUGGAGAGUUUUGGUCUGUGUUCUUGCUCUUGAACAAAAGCAGGGUCCACUUCUCCCAUGGUUGUUUUGUUCUGUUGCUAGAGUUUGUGAAUCAAUAAUGUUGAAGAUGGUUAAUUUUUUGUGUCUCUCUUAUUUAAUAGGUUGUUUCAAAAACAUGACAAAAAACAUAGUAAGUACGUACCUACUAUUGUAAAGGUAAAAUUGUAAUUGUAAUAGUGGAAUCAACGUAGACGGCAUAAUACAUUGAAUCUGGACUUAUUUUAGCAUAUACCGUAUGUAACCAUUAAAUGGUGUCCUCAUCCUCAUGUCACUCUUUAAACAAAAAUUCAUUUCAUUCAAUAAAUAAUGUAUAUAGUUUAUAAUAUAGAUCACAUGAAUGUAAAAUGUGAAUUUUUAUUUAUUUUUUUUAUUUAUAAUACUGACUUUAUAGUAAGGUGUAUAUAUUUUGUCCUUGGUUAUUGAAUGUAAGCAAAAUUCAUAAUGUAUUUGGAACAAAUUUUAGUGUAAAUACAUUUUGAUUUUUAGUUAUAUUUAAGAUUGGAAUGAUUUUGUGUGUGUGUGAAUUUACUAGUUUUCCAAAUAUAUCAAUGAAUUUAUUUGGACUUUUUUCUCUGUCUAAGUAAACUCAUUGAAUUGGAACUAUACAUAGCUUUGUGCUUUUUUUAAUCAAUACCCUCUUGUAUAUAAAAAAAAAAUUACGUAAGUAAUUUUUCUGUGUAAUUGGAUUGGAAAUCCGGACCUCUAUUUAAGAGGAAAGAUAUCUCUUAUCAUAUCAUUUAAAUAUUCAAUUUGUAUGUUUGAUUCAUAUCUUUUACAAGAAUUGAUUCUGUAAUAUUUAUGUACUUGUUUUAUGUGGAAUUAUUUCUCUCUUUCUUUUAUCAAAGAGAGUAGGGGGAAUUAUUUCUAAUUUAAUUAACAAUAAUUAAUACACCAUCCGAUCAUUAAAUGAUGUAUGUGGUCUAUUUAAUGAAUGAAUCUAAAAAUCAAAUUUUUACUUAUAUUAGUGACCGGAAGGUGUAUAAAAAGUAACCGGAAGGUGUAUAAAAGAAAGAAAGAAUAUCAACAAAAAAAAAAAGCGAAAGAAACAAAAAGAAGCAAAUAACAUAGUUGUGUAAGAUUUUAACUAAACAUAUGUGUUAAAAUUUGUCCCACGUCGGCGAGUUUAAUAACAACAUAUAGUGGAGUAGUAGUUAUAAAAGAGCAGUGCAUUUGUCCAUCAGUAUGGUCUGAGCUACAGUUGUCUUAGCCUUAAAGUAGUACUGCUAGUUUUUUCCUUAGUAGUUUUAAGACAAACAUGGUCUAUAGUUUAAUUUUAGUUCAAUUUAUAUUUUUGAAUAAAUUAAAAGUUCAAUAUAUAUAUUUUUGACAAAAACUUUUGAAUUUUGUUACUGGAGCAAUGAGUUGAACCUAACAAAUUGAACCAAGUUGUUUGUGAAUUUUAAACGAGCGGAACUGAGUUAAAUAAAAGGUUCGUAUCGAACUCGAAUCAAGUUUCAAGAUGAACCAAUUCUUAUCAAUUUGAAUCGAACUCGGACGAGUUCGACUCGGUUCGACUCAUUUUCAACCCUACUUACACUAUAGAACUAAUGUUGUAAUCUAUAUAUUGCAGUAUUUAAACAUAAAUCGUAGACAGUAAAUCAAAAGCGUGAAAUUAUAAUACAAAUGAACUGCAGUCGCUUUGUAAGUAAAAAAAAAAAAAAAAAAAAAAAAAGGUUAAAUAGGGCACUCAUGAUGUGGUUUAGAUAGAUUUUAAGGUAAAAAACUUCUAAUUCAAAGAUAAAAUUAGACAAGGUUUGAACAACUAAUUAAAAACAACGACCGAACUAAUUUAACUAAAUGCGGUUUAAUUUGUUAACUACGUUGAGCUAAGAGAUAAGAAGUUAGAGUUUUUAGCUAAGUGAAGGGAAAAAAAUAAUCUACCAAAUAAUUUACUAGCAUUUAUCAUUACGAAAAAUGCAAUUUAAUUUGGCUCGAAUUUUGAAUAUUUAAAUUAUAAUUGUAAAAAAUUAUAUUAAUAUUAUAGAAAGUAGAAACACAAUAAAGUACAAGUUAGAUAUAUUUUUUAUCUCUGCAAAAAAAAUCUGCACUAUUGCUUAAAGCCUCAAACCAAUUUUUUUUUAACUCUUAAAUUCUUGAGCAGUUUUUUGUUGUUGUUGCAGACAAGUCCAGAACAUUAUAAAACGUGAUCUUGGGAUGUAGCAGAAAGCCUGAAACAUUUCUACAUUAUGCAGAAUUUGAUACCGAACUAGCUCGCAAAUUUCAUCGUUACAAUGUGGAGCAUUUGGAAGUAGAGGAACAAUAAGAUUUGGAGCAAUGAAUCUAAAACCAGAUACCAAGUAUGUGACCGUGGUUUAGCUUUGCUGACAGGUUGAAAAUGUUGAAAUACUUUAUAAUCAACAAGAAUCUCACCAAACCAAAAUAUAUUAGCAACCAGAAACGUUAAAAACUAAAUUUGAAGGCCUAUAUCAAUUCAAUAUUUGAGAUCAAACAUAAUGAACGGUAAUAACUAAAUUUUCUUUUAUUCUGAGAUAAAAUUCUUACAUAAUGCACACUAGUAAUUUCAAUACUAGCAAAUUUGAUUGCAGCCACUCACUCAUUUCAGAAACACUGAUCAAUCUUUGGUUGUGUAAAUGAGCUAAGUGAUACAUUUAUUAAACUAUCUUUCUCUACUGUAGCUUAUAAUGAUAAAUUUGAAGAUUCUCCUCAUCUUGUUUCUUGAAAUUACUGUGUAAUCUGUGGACAAAAAACUUACCCCAUUUAUAUGGCUUAUAUUUUGGAGAGUUUUGCUUAUUUGUAAGCUCCUCCAAAGGCUUGAUUUCAGCAUCAUGUCCUGGAUUGAAGAAGAAUGGAAUAGAAAACCUCUCUUUCUCCUUGUUCACCAUUACUCUAUGCUCCACACUCUCAUAGGCAUCAUUACUCCAAACCUGCAACAAUAAACCCAAGUCUCUCGUUAUUUUCUCGUGUCCUAUAUAAUAGACCACAUACUUCAUUUAUUGAAUGAAACUGAAAAAUGAACUUUUACUUAUAAUAGUGACCGGAUGGUGUAUCUAGGUAAAUUAGGUCAAAUUAAAGUACCUGUGCCCAAAAAAAGUACCUGGAUAAUAUCACAAACGUUGAUAAUGUAAGCAUCUGAGGUAGGUUUCACAAGAACCCACUCUUGUGAUGCUUUGUGCUUCACUUCAAGACCCCCAACAUCAUCUUGGGCAAGAAUAGUUAAGGCACCAGCAUCCUUGUGUCGCCCAACGCCGAGAGCUAGGUGAGGGUAAGGGCAUGGAGGAUAGUGGUUGAAUCUAAUAAAGCUAGUGUGAUCUUUGAAGAACUCUUCAAACCUCUUUGCUUCAACUCCUAAGCUCAAAGCUAUUAGCUCAAGCAACUUGUAAGCCAACUUUUCCAUCUCUUCAUUAUACUCUUCAACUAUAGCCCUGCUUAUGUUCACAUAAAUUUUAAAAAUAUACUUUUGAAUAAUCUAAAUGGCGAUUGAAGAUGAAAUAUAUAACUACCUGAAGUGUGAAGGGAAUUGUGGGGAUGGAUUAGACCAUUGAAUAAAUUGAUCAUCGUUUUCAUCAGAAUUCAGAGGAACCAAAGUGGGAUCGUUGGCGAGAAAAUCAAGCACUUCUUUCCAGUCCCUAACAUUUUUGGUGUGUUCUGUAUCAUAAUAACCAGUUGGAUUGAUUUCAUCUCUAGCAACCUUCCUCUUCUCCUCCAAACUCUGAGCAAAGAACAAUUUAGCAGCUUCAUCAAGUCUCUGCCUAAGACUCGAAGGGACUCCAUGGUUUGUGACUUGGAAGAAACCCCACUCUUUGCAUGCACUUCCAAUUUCCUUCACUAAGUUUUCAAUAUCAGAUGGAUUUGGAACUUCAUUGUGGAAUAUUGGAGAGAGGUCAAUUACGGGAAUUCCUUUGGCUUCAAUGAUUGAGAGUUUUGGUCUGUGUUCUUGCUCUUGAACAAAAGCUGGGUCUACUUCUCCCAUGAUGAUGUUUUUCUGUUUGCUACUAGUUUGGUUUCUUGCGUUUCUCUUGUUUUUUAAGUGACAAAAAAAUAAAUUUGUAGGAAAAUUUGCAAGAGCAAAACCAGUAUUAUCGAGUUAUAUAUAUACAUUGAAUCUAGACUAGUUUUAGAGCAUAUAUGUGACUUUUCUCUCGUGCUUAUUGUGAAAAAUAUGAACAAAAACUAAUUUUAUUACUUACUUCCUAAAAAAGAAUAUUAACUGAGCAUUGACCAAAUUAAUCAAAUAUUAACAAAUUAAUAAUAUUAGUAACGGUAGUCGGUAGUAAUCUCACUUAAUGCAAUCAUAUCUCAUAUAACGUAGUUAGUUAGCAUUAGUUACAUGUGAUGUCACUAACAUUACUAUAUCAUUUCAUUGAAUAAAUGAUGUUUAUAGUUGAUAAUAUAGACCUAGUAUAUCACUUAUUCAAUUAACCUAAAAAAAUAAAUUUUUGCUUAUAAUUAUGAUUGGAAAUAAUAUUAUUGAAAGACUUUGAAUACAAAAUAUUGAUAACUUGUCUUCUCUAUUUGACCUAUAUUAAAAAUGAAAUACAUAAAUUAUUCAAUAAAUAUGAAAAAUAAUUUUUUUUAUCAAGUGGAUUAAUGGGUAGGAUUCACAUUUAAAGUGAAUAAGUUGGGUGUCAAGGGUUCAAACUCGACACAUGCAUAUUACAGUGUAUUGUUUGUAUCAACUCAAUAAUGCUAAUAAGGACAAUGAAUCUUUAUUUAUAAUUGAGAUCAACAUACUCUCAUAUCAUAUCACUUGGAUGGAACUCCAAAUUACUAGGACUCCUUUCCCCUGAAAAUUAGAGGGUUAACACCAAAAAAACAAAUUUUAUAUUUAUAGACUUUUUUUUUUUCCUUCCAAUGGAUACUUUUUCUUUUUCUGAGGGAAGUGGGUACUUACAAAUAGGGAUGAAGGAAGUAUAUUAAUUUUGAUUUCUAUAAAAGUUUGUAUAUUUUUUAGAGCUUAAUUAGUAUAAGACGUAGUGUAUAAUAAUUUUACAAAUAUUUUGCCAUUUCUGUUAAUUAAUAUGACAACUCAUGUUUUUUGUAUUCAUGAAUUGACCGAUAACUUAUCAUUUGAUGCAUGUGUAAAACAAUAUACUAAGAGCAUAUACUAAUUAAAUUCAUUUUAUAUUGAGUUGUUCCAAACAAAAAACGCACACACAGCUUAUCAGGAUACAUUAGUCCACUAUCAAUUUUUUGUGUAAACUAUUUUUUUACAUUGUUGAACCAUCACACUGCUUAUCUCGCAUUCCAUAUGUCAACCAUGGGUAUUUAAAAUGAAUGUAAGAGGUAUUUAGGUUCCUAACAAAAAUAUGACAAUUUUCUUUUGUCAUAAGUUGUAAAUGUUGAAAUACUUUAUAAACAACAAGAAUCUCACCAAAAGAUACAAGCAACCAGAGAGCUAAACACUAAAUUUAAGACAAACAUCAAAUCAAUUUUUGAGAUCAAACAUAAUGAACGGUAUUAACUUUAUUGUCUUUUAUUAUGAGAUAAAUUGCAUACAUAAUGCACCCAGUAAUUCUAAUACAAAUUUGAUUGUAGCCAGUUGCUCAUUUUAGAAACACCGAUCAAUCUUUGGUUGUUUACAUGAGCUAAGUCAUACAUUUAUUAAAAUAUCUUUCUCUAAGGUAGCUUAUAUAAUGAUAAAUUUGAAGAUUCUCCUCUUCUUGUUUCUUGAAGUUACUGUUUGUUCUAUGGACAUAAAAUUUACCCCAUUUAUAAGGCUUAUAUUUUGAAGGGUUUUGCUCGUUAAUAAGCUCCUCCAAAGGCUUGAUUUCAAUAUCAUAUCCUGGGUUGAAAAAGAAUGGAAUAGAAAAUCUUUCUUUCUCCUUGUUCACCAAUGCUCUGUGCUCCACACUCUCAUUGGCAUCAUUACUCCAAACCUGUAACAAUAAACUCAAGUCUCUCGUUAAAUCAUUUUGGACAUCCCAAUGCACUCUAUGAAGUCUUGUCUUUGUAAACCGACAAACAUUUUUCAGGAUUUAAAUCCGCGAAGUCAAGUGGAGAGCAAUUUUACGAUUUAAAUAUGACCUUCGAAUCAUAAGGCAACGGCCUUAGCGUUGCGCUAUGGCUAUGUAAGUUUUGCGUACCUCUUGAUGUGGUGAUUCAUUCUCAAAUUAUCAUUCAAAAUUCUAUUUUGUUAAUUUCUAUAUUUUUCUUUUAUCAAUAACUUCUAUCAAGAAUAGUAAUACUAAUUAAAGUUAAGCAAUCCAUAAAAGUGACUAAAACAAACACAGUAUAAAAUUAUGUCAAAAGUACCUGAAUAAUACCGCCAAUGUUGAUAAUAUACGGAUCUCGGGUAGGUUUUACAAGAACCCGUUGUUGAUCUGUUUUACGCUUCACUUCAAGACCUUCAACCUCAUUUAGGGUAAGAAUAGUCAAGGCACCAGCAUCCUUGUGUCUUCCAAGGCCAAGAGCUAGGUGAGGGUAAGGGCAUGGAGGAUAGUAGUUGAAUCUUAUAAAGCUAGUUUGAUACUUGAAGAAUUCUUCAAACCUCUUUGCUUCAAGUCCUAAGCUUAAAGCUAUAAGCUCCAAUAACUUACGGGCCAGCUUUUCCAUCUCUUCGAUAUACUCUUCAAUUAUAACUCUACUCAUGUUGACAUCAAUUUUAAAAACAACCCAUUAGUUUAAAAGUUAAUCUACCUUUGAAUACUCAUUGAAUUGAAUUGCAAUCCUAAAUUAUAUUUUGACACAGAAAUUGGACAAAAAAAAUCAACAAUAAUUUAUAUGGUUAAAACAAUUCAAAUAUAUUCUUAAUUAUGUUUGAUGAAUUAAUCGUUCAAAUUAUUAUAAAAAUUUCUUGUCCGAUUUUAUGUCAAAAUAACACAACUCAACGUUUAGGUCAGAUCACACUCAAUCCAACAUGAGACUUCCAAUUGUCAAUGAAAAUUGGUAUAGAUCUCUAACACAUAAACACCUUUAAGAUUAGGUGUGUUCGACAUAUGAACAGGUAUCCUUAAAAAUAAAAAAUUAUUUGUUUCCAUAGACCCUAGAUGCUCCUUAGACACUUCUAUAAGGUUAAAGAUGUGAGAUGCAGUGAUGAUCAAUGACGACGAGUAAAGACAUUAAAUUUGAUUGCUUCAUUUUAAUUUUUUGGUAGAAGAUAGAACAACUUAAAUGCACAUAAAUAUUUUUAAGAGUGUUAUAUUAUAGAUUGAAGAUGAAACAACUACCUGAAGUUUGAAGGGUAUGGAGGUGUUGGAUUACACCAUUGAAUAACUCGAUCAUCAUUUUCAUGAGGAGUGAGAGGAAAGAAAGGGUCAUUGGUGUAAAAAUCAAACACUUCUUUCAUGUCUCUAACAUUCUUGGUGAGUUCAGUGUCAUAAUAACCAGUUGGAAUGAUCUCAUCUCUAGCAACCUUCUUCUUCUCCUCCAAACUCUGAGCAAAGAACAAUCUAGCAGCUUCAUCAAGCCUCUGCCUGAGACUCAAAGGGACUCCAUGGUUUGUGACUUUAAAGAAUCCCCACGCUUUGCAUGCACUUCCAAUCUCCUUGACUAAGCUUUCAAUAGCAGAUGGAUUUGGAACUUCAUUGUGGAAUAUUGGAGAGAGAUCAAUUUCUGGAAUACCUUUGGCUUCUAUGAGGGAGAGUUUUGGUCUGUGUUCUAGCUCUUGAACGAAAGUUGGGUCUACCUCUCCCAUGGUGAUGAUUUUUCUGUUUGUUAGAGUUGAUAAAUCAGUAAUGUUGAAGAUGGUUUCUUGUGUUUUCUCUUAUAUAGAUAGAGUAUGUAGGCAUAGUAGCGUAGCCAUUGUAAGAAAGAAAGUCGUAUGUAUUUUUUUUGUGGUGGUUGAGGUUUGGAUCCUGGACCUUAAUAUAUUAUCAAUUGUCCAUACCAACUGAGCUAACCUCAUGAGAAUAAAGUCGAACGUAUUUAAUAAAGUCACAUAUGUCGCAUGAAAAUUUGUACUUUUUUUUCUUCCUAAAGCAGCAUAAAAGUUUAUCAGAUCAAACGGUAAAGUUACACUUUAUAAAUGUAAUUAACUCCAAAUUUUAUAGACAAAAAGUCUUUUUCAUAAUUAAAAAGUCUUUUAAAAUCUCAUAAAAUCUUAAUCCAAUACAUCCCCUUAAUCUUUGAUUGUAACCAAAAAAAAAAAAUCUUUGAUUGCGUACAAACAUGGGCUAAGUGAUUUUUUUUUAGAGAAAUGUUAAUAUGUGUUUUUAAGCCACAUGUGAAUGAAAUUAAAAGUAUAAUUUGUUUUUAAACGUUUAAAUAUUGAAUGCACAAUUUCUAAGAUAAAUCUUUCACAUUUAAUUCCUUAACAUAUGCACUAAAAACAUGACCAUUAUUUUGUUAAACUGUCUAGCUCUAGGGUAGCUUAUAAUGAUAAAUUUGAAGAUUCUCCACAUCUUGUUUCUUGAUAUUGCUGUCUUUUCUGUGAACAAGAAACUUUCCCCAUUUAUAUGGCCUAUAUUUUGAAGGGUUUUGCUCAUUUAUAAGCUCUUCAAAAGGUUUGACUUCAGCGUCAUAUCCUGGGAAUAAAAAGAAGGGAAUAGAAAACCUUUCCUUCUCUGUGCUCACAAUCGCUCUGUGCUCCACACUCUCAUAGGCAUCAUUGCUCCAAACCUACAACAAUAAACCCAAUUCUCCCGUUAAAUAUUUUAGGACGUCCCCAGAACACUAGGCUCCUAUGCAGCCUUAUCUCUGCUAUUGAAGAAGCUGUUUUCAGGAUUCAAAUUUGUGACCUAUGUAAAUAGAUAAGACAUGAAUUGAGUUUAUAAACGGCGACACUUCUCACUUAAUAUAAAAAUUUAAUAACCUUCACGUCGCAAGGCAACGAACGACCUUAGCGUCAUGCUAUGGCUCACCCUCUAAUUAAGGGGUUAUAUUAAGAAAAUCAUAAAAUUGGAAGACAACAAAGACAACAUUUAUUAGGUCAAAAGUCCAUAAAACUAUAAUGUUUGGUACCUGAAUGACAUCACCAACAUUAAUAAUAUAAGCAUCUGGUGUGGGUUUCACAAGAACCCACUGUUGAUCUGUUUUCCGCUUCACUUCAAGUCCUCCAACCUCAUCUUGGGCAAGAAUAGUUAAGGCACCAGAAUCCUUAUGUGGACCAGCACCAAGAGCAAGGUGAGGGUAAGGGCAUGGAGGAUAAUGGUUAAGUCUAAGAAAGCUAGUUUGAUCUUUGAUGAAGAAUUCUUCAAACCUCUUUGCUUCAACUCCUAAGCUAAGAGCUAUGAGCUCUAGCAACGUAAAGGCUAGCUUUUCCAUCUCUUUAAUAUACUCUUUAAGAAUAACUCUGCAAUGCUCAUAAUCACAUCAUUAUAAACAUAUAUGAAGCACCAACACAUAUACACAAAUCAAACCUAACAGUAAUACUGACACGCAGACACCAAUAGCUAUUUAAAAAACUGGUUGUGAUUGAACGCUACUACAUGUGUAGAUUUUUGUUCGUGUUGGACAACAGACAACCUUCAAUCUGAAGUGUUGGUGCAGGUGCGAGCUACAAUAUCAUUAACUGUGUGCUAGUAUAAUAACUGAAAUUAUUUAGAGUUUGAUAUCAAAGAAUAAUAUGUUUUUGUCCUUUUGAAAGGACUAAAAAUGGUGAGUUGACUAAAAAUGGAUACAUUUUUUUAAGCUACUAAACUCAACUGCAUAAUUUUGCAUGGAAUACAAACAUAUUUAACAUGAUUAGUAUGGUACAAAGAUGAAUUACUUGAAGUGUGGAGGGUAUUGAGGGGAUGGAUUAGUCCAGUAAGUGACUUGAUCAUCGUGUUCAUCAGAAUUCAGAGGAACCAAAGUAGGGUCAUUAGAGAGAAAAUCAAACACUUCUUUCCAGUCUCUUACAUUCUUGGUGUGCUCUGUAUCAUGAUAACCAGGCAAACCGGUAUCAUCUGUGGUAAUCUUCUUCUUAUCCUCCAGGCUCUGUGCGAAGAACAUCUUAGAAGCUUCUUCCAUUUUGAGCCUUAGAGUGGGAGGGACACCAUGAUUUGUAACUUGGAAGAAACCCCAUUCCUUGCAAGCACUUGAUAUCUCUUUGACUAAGGCUUGUAUGGCAGAGGAGUCUUGAACUGUGUUGUGGAUUAUUGGGGAGAGGUUGAUUACGGGAAUGCCUUCAGCUUGGGUGAUGGAGAGUUUUGGUCUGUUUUCUGGGUUUUGAAUGAAAGCUUGAUCCACCUCUUCCAUGUUUCCUGCUACCACUAAACUAAUAAUUCAAACAUUGAUUACUAUGCUGAGUGCUGAUGUGUGACCAUAUAUGUGCACCUUAUAUUUUAUCUUAUCAUUAUGGAAUUGUAUAUAAACUAUGUAUCUAUCGGUCAACAUGCUUGUAUAGCAUAUGUAUUAUAUUAUACUGUAUUCCAUCUAAGAAUAUUUAAUAACUAGAUGCAGGCCAAGCAUUGCACGGGUGUAGUAUAAUUAACCAAAACUUAAAUCUUUUAUAUACUUAUAAAAAUUCAACAGAAUAAAGAAUAGCCAUGGAAUUUUUGUCUGUAUUGAAUAGUACCCUCUAGCGUUAUUGUUUUAAAGAACCCAAUACAAAGUAUUAAUAUAAAAACAUUGCUUUGUUGUUUUGAUUAUCUAUAUAUACAUAAACAAAUGAACUUUGCUUUAUAAGCAGCCAUUCUCUGAAAAAACAUGCCUUAGACAAAUCCCUGCUUGAAAUUGUACGAGUCUUUCACUAAGGUUUGACUCUUAUCAUUGGAAACUCCAAGAUCUGUCAUGUAUCAUCUCAUGAGCUUCUCUCCUGCGUAAAAUGAAUUAAUUAAAGGGCUGCAUAGUUUUAGGAACCAAAACAUAGUUUUAAGGUUCAUCUUUUUUUAACUAAUAUUGUUGCUAGUAAAACACCAGCAACUAUUUUUCUCUCGGGACAUCUAAAACCUAUGUAUUCAAAGAACUGAAGCACAUUUUCAUGUGGACCUUGGAAUACAAUUUGAGCUUCUAAAGUAGGAUAAUGUCAUCAUCAAAUUUCUUUGUUGUUGGUUGUACAAGAGAAAUCCCCAUAACUAUAUACAUAAUAUAAACCGUUUGUCUCAUGAACCUACUAUUUGAAAAGUGGUAUAAUUGUUCAAUCAUGUUGAUAUUUUGUCCAUAAAUGGUGCUUUUUCUAGUACCACCAAUUUUUCAACUGUGAUUUUUCAUAUACAAUUCACAAACAAAAGUUCUACAUCGAUUAUUUGGUUUGAUCCUCUAGAAUUGAAAAAAAUUGAAGUCCAACUGUCACUUACCACAAACAAUAUUUUAAUUGCACUCUCAGUCUAGAAAAUUGACACAAACACUACUUUGUAUUUUAUAGACCUGGUAUUCUAAUUCUAUGAUUCCCACUUCUUGGUAAUGUAAGAUGACGAGUGUCUCUUCUUAUAAACUCUUUUCAGUGUGAAAUUUGGGUUCUUCCCAAUAACUACAAUUUCAGUAUGAGUGUAUAAAUCAUUUUUUAACUGAAACUAAUUUUGCAAAACCUAACCCAUUCAAUAAGUUUGAAAAACUCACCUUUUAGGAAACUGUGUGCUUCACUGAAAAUAUUUAAGUGGCCACAUCUGAAAGAAAGAUAAGAUCAUAAAAAGCAGGUUGCAUUAGAAACACUAUCUGUCAUUGCUGCUAUAGAGAUAAUUGAACGGUACGAUAGAGUUAAUGGUUGCGGUUAUAUGCUCUACAGUUUUGUAAAUAACAUCAGAAUAUGGAUGUGUUGUAUCUUCUACAGAGAACAGAUGAACAUUGUUGUUCAACUCUAUCCAGCUGAACCCUUGAUCUUUUCUCAAUUCCAAACUCUGUAACCUCUUCCUAAUUUUUGUUUUCUUCCCCCAUCUACCCCGUCUGGCAUACAUAUUAGACAGAGUAACUAAAGCAGAUACUGAAUUUGGAUCCAAACUGAACAACUUCACAGCAGCUCUCUCUCCCAAUUCCACGUUGUUCCAGAAACACGAGGCAUUAAGCAAAGCUCCCCAAAUUACACCAUCUGCUUUGAUAGGCAUUUGUAUGAUAAACUCUUCUGCUUCUUUCACACGGCCUGACCGACCAAGAAGAUCCACCACGCAUGUGUAAUGCUCUAUUGUUGGGGUUAUUCUGUAGUUUAUCUGCAUUGAGUGAAAAAAUUUCAAACCUUCGUCAACUAGGCCAGCAUGGCUACAGGCGGAAAGAACAGCUACAAAAGUAGCAGCAUUUGGAACAACACCUUGAUCUAACAUUGAGCGGAAGCGUGAAAUCGCCUCAGAUCCGCAUCCAUGGUAUGCAUAACCAUUUAUAAGAGCUGUCCAUGCUGCUACAUUGGGUGAAAAGAUGCUGGUGAAUGACCUUUGAGCAUCGGCCAAGUGACCACAUUUGGAAUAGAAAUCCACAAGAGCAGUUCCAACGUAAACAUUUUCCUGGUAUGGCGUUUUGGCUAAGUGUGCAUGAAGCAACUGUCCUUGUUGAAAAGAACAGAGGUAUGCACAAGCACGAAAUAGAACAGAGAAUGUUGAUCUGCUAUACUCAACUAAAAAUCUACGCAUGGUCACGUAUAAUUUCAAUGCCUCGCUGUGCUCACCAUUAUGAAUGUAACCCGACAUCAUUGAAUUCCACGUUACACAAUUUCUUUCACCCUUAGUUUUGUCAAAAAGCUUCACAGCUUCGUCAAGUUCACCGUUCUUGGAAUACACAGUAAUCAUAGUAUUUAAGGAGGUUAAAUGUUUGAGACUCAUUUUCUCAAACAAUUUUUUCGAUUUUUUAAACUGACCACUCAUCGCAUAACCUUUAAUCAUCAAAUUAUUAGAGAUGAGAGUUUUAUCUCUCAAUCCAUAAAAGAUCAUCCCCGCUUCUUUGACCCUCCCCAUUGAAACAAGGCCACCAAUCAGCGAGUCAGCAACGUUCGAACAAGCUUCCCCUACCAUGCUUUCAUAAACUCUCUUUGCGUCGUCUACAGCAUCAGAAACACAAUAAAACUCAGCAAGUGCACUACUAACUGAGUUAUCAAAAUCAAAACCAUCCUUAAUGCAAAGUCCAUGAACAACCUUCCCAACAUACAGAAUCCUAAGUCUAGCACAAACCCUCAAAACACAAUCCAAAGUGAACUCAUUAGGCAACACCUCUGAACUCCUCCUCAUACAUCCAAACAAAUCCAAAGCCCUCUCACACCCAUCUUCCCUCUUCGCAUAUCCAGAUAUCAACGUAGUCCAAGCCACAACAUCCCUAACAGGCAUCUUUUCAAAUAUUUCCAUAGCAUCACCUAUCAUAUCACGCUGCACAUACCCCGCAAGCAUCAAACUCCACAACACGUGAUUCUCAUCACGAAGCUCCUCAAAAACCAUCUCAGCUUCUCUAAUUCCACAACAUUGCACAUAGUAAUGCAACAAAGCACUCCCCACAGGUCCAAACCUCUGAUAUCCAGAUUUGAAAAGGAGUGAAUGAAUCUGCUUUCCAAGAAACAAAGACCCACCACGUGUACACGCGCUCAAACAUGCAGAAAAAGAAACCUCAUUGAACUUAACACAAGAGCUAUGCAUGAAGGAAACAAGAGUCAAAGCUUCAGUGUACUUCCCCCAUUGGGAGUAGCCAGAAAUCAUAGUGUUCCAUGAGGAAACUGUUCUGAGUGGCAUUUCAUCGAACAUGUGGCGGGCUUCUACAAGUUUCCCGGUUUUGGCAUGGUGAGCGAUGGAGAUGUUGGUGGAGAUCACGUGAGGGGGAUAGGGUUGUGAAGCUUCCAAAAGGGUCGUGAAAAAUUGAAGCUUUUGUUUCCGUUUCCAAGUGGUGCUUACUGGGGAGAAUUUGAGAAACAGAGUCAUUGUGAGGGAGAAACAGAAAAGAACAUGGUGGUUUGCGAGAGUGAGUCGUUACCUCAUGAGCGCAAAUUGUGUACUAUAUUAUCACUCUUUAAAAGUAAUUUUAUGGCCUUAAAAGAAAAUUUAAAUGUCAUGUAGUUGGAAAAUAAAUUCUAAAAUUAUCGUUAAAUUAUUAUGAAAAAUAGAUAGUAGUUUUUUAUUAGGGGAUGAAAUAGAGAUAGUUGAUAUCUUCCAUAAGUUUUUUUUUUUUUGGUAAAGAUAUCUUCCAUAAGUUAGUGUUGAUAAAAUUAAAAGGUACAUCUAUAUACAAUAUACUUUUCUUUUUUAUUCUUCUUCUUAAAAAAAAAAAAAAAAAGUUUUUAACUGAAUUUCUAUUAGUUUGACAAAUCUUUUUCAUAGUUGCAAUAAGUAAAUAAUGAUUUUUUAUUUGACCUCGUUGAUAUCAAAGCUUCCGGAACAACUUCUUAUAUCUUGAUUUGUUUACCGUGAAUAGAGUACAACCAUAAUUCAUUUCUCAAAUUUCCGAAUUAGGGAGAAAGAACACACAUUAUAUAGCCACCUUAGUAAAGUUAUAGACAACCAUAUUUACCGCUCUCUUAGAAAACUCGACCUAAGAAUUAUUACAAAAAUAUAAAACUUCAUGACAUUAAGUCAGAAUUUAAAAAUUGCAAAAAAGAAAAUCACCUGUACAUUACUUCCUGAAAUUACAUGAGAUAGGGAUUUUAUGAAAAGCAAUAACCAAAGUGAAAGAAAGAAAGAAAAAAAACUACAAUUAUACAGCUAUUCCAUAAUUCAUUCAUAUCCAUAACUAGCCUACGACUAACACAUUCACAUCAUUAAUCCCUCCCUAUAAACUGAAACAAAAUCAUCAAUCUGUUUCAUGAUCUGGUGCUUCAGAAUACCAUGCAGGUGACUUUCCCAUGGAUCUAAGAAGUUUAGUAUAUGAUGAAUCAGGCAUUUUUGCUUGCUCCUCUUCCAUCAUUUCAUCAGCAGAUUUUGGUAAUCCAUCUGGUCUAGGACAAGGAUUUUGUUCUUCUUCUGAAUAUAUUUCAUUGGUUAAAUUCAAAUCAUUCUUUUUCAGUUUACGCAUUAGUGCAAUUCCAUGUAAACAUCCUAUUAAGGAUUUCACACCACCAAUCUCAAUAAUCAGCCUCUCUAUCUCUGCUCUAGGUGACUCCUUCUGUAAAAGAUUGUGAAGAGGAAUGGAAUUAUUAAUGAAAGUUCGUUCAUGUGUACAAUAGGACAAUAAUGUAUUCUAAUAAAACAUGUCACCCGUUGAAAUUGAGCCAAAAAACAAACAAAUGAAAAUCAAUUUACUUUCUAAAAUUAUAUAGCCUGACAUUUGGUCUCUAAAUCUAACAAAAUUUUAUGAUCACUCUUGAAAGUAAAAAUUCUCAAUCGCAUUUUUCUUGCAACACCUAUUUUUUCCUGAAAAACAUUGGAUCAUACUACUCUAAAUUAAGCAAGUCACUUUAAAGAAUAAAGUGAAUAAUGUCCGAAGAUCAACACAUCAAUGGUUGAUAUUAUAUGCACAUGAAUAACAAAUUAUCUUGAAACAAAAAAAAAAAAAAAAAAACAAAAUAAUGAUAGUUAAAAUAUUGACAAUUAAUUUUCUCUGUUAAAAGGUAAAUUAAUAUCAAUCAAUGAUAAGUAGUAAAUCAAUAAGUUAAUACUAUAUUUACAUAUACAUAAUAAAAUUAUUAGUAAAAAAUGCCUGAUUCAUCGUAUAACCUUAAUUUACUCACUUUAGAAUAACAAAAUCCAUGUUCUAUAGUCACAUAUAAUCAAAAUAGGAAAAAAUGUCAUGGAUCUACAUACAAAUCAUUCUUUGAGAAUUUAAAAAUAGAAACAUUUGGUCAAGAAAGGCAAAAACACGCAGAAACAGAAAAAAUCAGGGAAAACGCAAAAUCUUGAAUGAGUUAUAUCUGAAACAAAGAAGAAGAAGAAGAAGAAGAAAGAGAUUACAUACUUGGAGAUCUUUGAGCUCAAAAUAAGCCUGCCAGCAACUAUAUGAUUCAUCACCUUCAAGUAUCGAACAAUAAUCUGGCAAAUAAAUAUUAAGAAUCAAAAACAUAAUUUCCAACAACAAACUAAAAUAGAACAUAAAAAACGGAACGCACCCAAGAGAUCUUUCUCAGAUUUUUCGAUCAAAGGAAGGUCUUUAGCGAGUCUAUCUAAUUUGGUUCGGCUAAAAGGUUGAAGCUUAGGGAUGAAUGAUUGGUUUCUAGAAGAAGAAGAAGAACAAAUAAGUUUGGUUGAAGAGGUUGGGUUGUGAUGAAGAAGAAACAGAGAAGGACGAAGUAGUGUUGUUGUUGUUGAAUUCAUGGUAUCGUUUUGUAAAUUUCAAAGACACAAAGAGUGGUUUGGUUAAUAUAAUAGUUCUAUUUGGAUAAGGAUGAUAUUUUCCUAGAUAUUUUAUUCUUGACAAACAAGUUAUUAAAAUAUCUUUCAAAAAUAAAAUUAUUAAAAUAUGUUUUUUUCUUCUUGAAAGAAGUUAUUAAAAUAUGUUCAUUAUCCGUUCUUUUUUAAAGCAGUCUGGUCAUGGAUCAUGGUCCCCCUGGACCCUGCAGAUGGGAUGUGUUAUCUCCGAUUGCUUGGUUAAAAUCGGACUAAGAAAAAUAUUUCUAGCCUUUAUGUAAUUAAAAAGAAAAAUACAAAUAAAAUAAAUUAAAAAAAGUAAAACACAAGGGAAAUUUGCGUUUUGUAAUUUAAUGAUAUCAUAAAUGCAAUAACUAAAACUUAAGGUUGAUCCGGUUUACAACAAGUUAAUUUGUGUUUUGUAAUAAUUUGAGUUCAGCCUUUGUAAAUGUUCUAGAUAUAUUACCAUGAUGAACCUUAAAACUCAACUCAUCUAAACUUUUGUAUUGAUAACAAAAUGAUAUUUGUGUCUCUUAAAAUUCAUUUGAAUGAUUGUCAAUAUUACAAUCAAGUUAUUAAAAUUCUCUUAAUAUAUUCAUGAAAACUACUUCCUUAAAAAAAAUCAUGAAAAUUACCCAAAGCAUAAGGUGUGUCAAGGAUAUAAAAAACAAUUACAAAACACACAAAAAAAAUACCAUAGGGACAAAUAAAAGGUGAAAUGGUUCUUAUAAAUAGAGAUGAAUGGAGUAAAACAACUACACUAAAAGAAAGUUAAAGGAUAUUAGAUACAAUAUGUAAAAUAUAAAUUUUCUCUUUUUUAUUAUAUGAGUGAAAUUCUAACAAAUUAUCUUAGACUAUUGUAUAAGAAAACCAAACAAUCUAGUAACUUUUAAUUAGGGUCCGUUUGGUUCGAGAGUUUUGGAGGGGAGUGGAGGGGAGAUUUUUAAUUUGAAGUGUUUGGUUCAAUUUUUAGAAGGGAAGGGAAGGGGAGGGGAGGGGAGCAAAUCUCUUUAAAAUUUUAUUGCAUUGCCAUAAUUAUCCUUAAAUUAAUUUCAAAUCUCAAUAUUAACCUUGUAACAACUUUUAUUAUUAUUAGAUUAUAUUAUUUUUGUAACAAUCUUAUUAUUAUUAUUAGGUUAUCUUAUUCUUGUAACAAUUAUUAUUAUUAUUUUGUUAUAUUUUCCUUGUAACAAUUUUUAUUAUUAUAUAAUCUACCACUCUUAUUUGUUAGAUGUACAAACCGCUCUUACUAUUUAAUUAAGUUUCUGAAAUCGUAAAAACAAACAGUUUCUUUUAUUUAAUUAAGUUUAAGGGUAAAACGGUAAAAUAUUGUUAAAAUCCCUCACCUCCCCUUGUGAACCGAACCAAACACACUUUUAAUUAAAAAUAUCUCCCCUCCGUAAAAAUCCCUCCCCUCCCCUCCUAAUUCUCGAACCAAACGGACCCUUAAAGGAAAAUGCUAACCGAUGCCCCGGGGCACUGGUUAAGGAUAAUAAAAAGGAAAAUUAUAUGUUAAUUAUUGCAUUGAAAAUUGUUUAAUUAAUCCAUAAAUAAGUCAACAAAACUUUCUUUUAUGGUAAGAAUUUUCUUUUUUUUGUAUGCUUAACCCGUGCCCGGGAGCACCGGUUAGCAUGACCCUUAAUUAAAUAGUAGUAUAAUUAAAUUGUAUUUUUAAGAGCACCGGUUACCAAAAAAUAUGUCUACUGAGGUUUGAUUGGUGCUUGCUCUUUUUGGUAAAGUGGGACCAUGUUGGAGGGCACAUUUGUUGUGGUUAGGGACUUUGGGGCCAUCAUGCAAGUGGGAGAAUGGUCUCAUCAUCUAAUCAAAACGUUGAAGACUAACAUUGGGUGGAUGGAUGGUGUGGGGAUUGGUUGAAAAUUGUUGUUGACAUAUUAGAUAACGUUGAGGCACAUAAGUAAAAAUACGUUUUUGCCUCCUCGGCAGUUAGUUAAAUGCCGAGUAAUUCAAAAAUCGGCUGCAGUUAACUGCCGAGGAAAACCUCGGUAGUAAACUGCCGAAAAUUUGUUAUAAGUACAGAACAGAUAUGGGAGUUUCUAAAACUCCAUUGUUAUGUUUUUUAUUCUCCUAGAUGCGAUUUUGAGCAAUUUGAAGUCAUUCCAAGCCAAUUUCAAUCACAAAACCAAGUAAGUUUUUUUGAAUCCUAUUGCAUUGUUGUUUUGUGGUCGAAUUGUUUUUUUUUUUUGUUAAAUUUCAAUUAUAUAGGUUUUAUUGAUUUUAUGAUAUGUUAGGAUAGUUUAUGUUACAAUGGUUAGAAUUGUUAGAGAACUUUUAUUGAAUUGUUAGGUUUAGGUUUUGAUGAAUCGUUGUAGAAUUGUUAGAAUUGUUUAGGUUUAGGUGUAGGUUUUGAUGAUAGUUUAGGUUUGGGUUUAGUUUUUGAUUUUACGAUUUUAUGGCAUUGUUGUUUAGUUUAGGUUUUGAUAGCCAUUUUUUUUUAAUGUAGAAAUAUCUCAGAAUCAGAAUCAAGGUAACGUUCAGGGUGAUGAGAAGAACAAAGAAAAAUUGCCUAUGACAUGACACGAAAUUGUUUGUGAUGGUUCCGAAAAAAGAAGGGUUCGAAGGUGCCGGUGUACAAUCAGUCGAGGUUGAGGAGGAGCGGGAGGACAUGCUAUUUUGGUCCUCAACCAAAUCAAGGUGCCCCAGGGACUGUAGCGGGCAACCCGGUUGACUUGUGUGACGAGGAAGAAUGAAUGUAAUGGCUUUUAAUGCCUAAUUGUUUUGGAUUUUUUUAUGUUUUAUUUUUGUGUCGCGCACAUUUUGUUUGACAUUAUGAUACUUAGAAUAAAAUCGCAUUUGAAAUAAUUUCGAUUAAAGUCGUGUUUUGAAUAAUUGAGUAUUCGAAUAAAAACUAAUUAAAUGUAACUUGAAUUCAACUGAUUAAAAUUGUGUAAUGAAUAAAUAAAUUCGAAAAGUGAAUAAAUAAGAUAAUUAUUGUUCCAUUCAAAACAAAAUGUAUUAUGCAUAUUCAACUAUAUAUGUUAUCACAUUAUAUUGCAUUACAUUACAUUCCGAAAUGUACCUUCCAACUGCAACAAUUAUCUUACCCUUGAAUGGGGUAAAUUCAAACUUGCUAAACAGCAUGACUCCAGCAUGCGAUGAACAUCUUGAAUGAUGGUAUUCAAGUGUCAAAAGAAUGCGCAUUCUUUUGACACUUGAAUACCAUCAUUCAAGAUGCUCAUCGCAUGUUGGAUUCCUGUCGUUUAACAAGUUUGAAUUACCCCAUUCAAAGGAAGAUCAAUUGUUGCAGUUGGACGUUUGUAUCUUCCAACAACAACAAUUGUCUUACCUUUGAAUGAGGUAAAUUCAAACUUGCCAAGCAGCAGGACUCCAAUAUACAACCGACAUUCCCAAUGUUCCAUUCAAAAGAUUAAAUUGUUGUUAGGCUGAGAUUAAAUGAUGGUAUUCAAAUGUCAAAAGAAUGAGGUCCGUUCCUUGACACUUCAAUACCUUCAUUUAAACCAGCCUAACAAGAAUUUAAUCUUUUGACGGGAACAAUGGGAAUGUCGGUCGAAUAUUGGAGACAUGCCGUUUGGCAAGUUUGAAUUACCCCAUUCAAAGGAAGACAACUGUUGUAGCUGGAAGGUGCAUUCAUUCCGUACAUAAUGACGAUCUUCUGGCAGAAUCAAACUUUUGAUGAUAUCUUCAGUUGAUCUCACCAACGUCAUCCGCAUAUUGAUCCACUGGAACAUGUUGUGCUCCCAAAACAUGAUCGUCACGUUUUCGUCGUUCGUUAAUUCCACCCAAGUGAAUGAUACUCUCCCCUCGUCGAGCGUUGGACGUUUAUACCGAACGUGUUCCACCCUCCUUGUGUCUCUGGGGUUGACUCCUUGGUUGAAUCUCCAGUCAGUUCAUCCUUGAGACCUCUUAACGUUACACCAAGGCACCGAACCUUCAACCUCUGAGGUUCUCCGCCGUUGAAUUGUGCAUUAACGUCGAUCCACCCGACCAUUGUUUCAAAUCUACACAAUAAGAAAUUAAAAACAAUCAAUGAAAAACUCAUUCAAUCAUUUCAUCAAACACUUGAUGUGCAAAUUAUACAUAGUCUCUAAAAAUCAUAAAAAUAACCCUAAAAUUAUAAAUCAUAUAUUUUUACUAAAAUAAUAAAAUUAAUCAUAUACUAUAACAAAAAUCAUUCAACUUAUGUUGAACAUAACUUUUUAUUGUUAUGACGUAAAAUAUAACAAAAUUAUUCAACUUAUAUUUACUCUCAAAAUAAAUCAUAUAAACUAAAAAAAUAAAUAUAAAACACCAAAUUAAAAUAUAACCCUAAAAUUGUAAACUAUAACAUAAUCAUCAUGCAAUAUUUUAACUAAAUUAAUCAACUAACAUCUAAUCUAAAAAUGAUUUAUAACAUGUAAAUCUAAUUAAAAACUAAAAUAAAAAAAUAAAUAUAAAACACCAAAAUAAUAAAUAACCGUAAAAUUUUAAAUUAUAACAUAAACAUCAUGCAAAUAUUUUAACAACAUUAAUCAACUAACAUCUACUCUAAAAAUUAAUUAUAACAUGUAAAUCUACUCAAAAACUAAAAAAUAAUAAAUCUACUCAAAAACUAACAAAUAAAAAUAUUUAUAACAACUAAAAUGUAAGUUAAUAGCAUUAUAAUUACUUACUUGUGAUUUUGUUGAAUAAAUUUUGUUGGGUUUUUUAGAGAGAUUUGUGAGAGAGAUUUGGUAAAAAAAAUUGGAAGAUGAGAUGAAUAAUAGAUGAGAGAGCUUCUGCCAGAUUUGUAGCAGAAGAUCCUCUGCAGUUAACUGCAGCCGGUUUUUUAAUUCCUCGGCAGUUAACUGCCGAUGGGACAAAAAUGUAUUUUACCCGUGUUUCUCAGCCUUAUGAAAUGUGUCAACAACAAUUUUCGGAUUGGUUUGGCUUUCACCAUAUGCAAACAAACAAACAAACAAAUAGACACAUAUGACGGUGGUUUGACGGAAGAAACUGUGUGCACAACGCAACCAAAUGCGACCAAUCUAAGGAGUGUUGUUAUUCUUGUGUGUCUGAGUCUUAUUGUCUUUGGGAUAUUUUAUCUGUCAUUUACUUGACGAGGGUCUGGUUUAACUUUUACUAUGGUUUAGACUUCCAUGCCAAAAACAAUUCUAACCCUAUAAAUUAGGUGGGGUUUAGCAUGGGAAAAGAAACUUGUUUCCCACCAUGGGAAAGUAUUUUUCAACCAUUUGAUUAAAGAGGAGUAUAGAUUCUAUUGUGAUCUCUCCACAUUGUAUUUUAUUUUAACAUUGUCUUCAACCUUUACUAAAAAAAAAUUAAAAAACAUUUAAAACAUUGUUUUCAAUCUCUAUGAGUACCACCAUGAAACCAUCGAUUCCUCAAAAUAAAAAAGAACAACACACAUGUUGCUUGUCAUCUCUACUUGUUCCAUACUUGAAUUGCUGCAACUCACACAAACAACAACACACGUUGGGAAUUUGGUUUUUUUUUUUUUUUUUUUUUUCAUUUUCUUCUACAUGAAUACAUAUGUUUUUUCUGAAAAUAAUGAAGAGGAAUAUCAAAGACAAAAGGAACAUAAGGGCUGGGAGUAUAUUGUGAUAACAAAAUUGUCCACUUAACCCCACCUUCCGAUUUUCCACCAUGACUAAAUGUAAAAGCCUUUCAAUUUGUUUUUCUUUUUUUGUUGUUUGUUGGUUUUGGAUCUAUGAACAUGAUUUUUUGUUUUGUUUUGGAUUUAUGAGCAAAAUCUACAAUGAACAAAAAUAUGGAUUAAUUAAAAAUAAACGAUGUCAGUUAAUGGAAAAUGGAAUAAGAAAGAUCCACAUUGGCCUCAACGGGAAAUGGGGAAGGACAAUGGUGGGUUUGAUGCUGUUUUGCUUGUGGUGGGUGAGUGGGGGUGGAAGAGAGAGAAUGAUGGUGAGAGAUAGUGUGAAAAAAAUCUAGUGUUGAUAGUCUACCAUUAGAUUAUGUUCUUCAAUUGAUCUAAUGGUCAAAAAAUACUUUUCCAUGGUGGAAAACAAGUUCCCUUUCCCAUGCUAAACCCCACCUAUAAAUUAUGUUUGACAUUUUUUUAGAAAUCAGAAUCAAUUAUACUUGAAGCUGUUAUUUCUACUUUUUGAUUCUAGAUUUCAUUCUAUCAUGCAAAUUUAUAAUUCAACUUACUUUUACAAAUCAAUUUAUUGACAACUCACUUUUAGUUAGAAUCAAUUUUACAUAAUUAAUUCACUCAAAAACAAUUUUUAUCAAAGAAAAAUCAUACAUUAAAUUUUAGGCUUAAACACACUUUUUACCCCCUAAGUUUACAAAAGUUGCAAUUUUAGCCCCAUUUUAAAAAAAUGGGAAAAGUGACCCCAUGUUUACCCAACCUCAAUUUUGACUUAGUCAAGCCUAUGUGUCACGCCACAUCAGUUAAAAAAUCGCCAGCUAUCUACUUUUUUAAUUUAAAAUAAAUGUAAAUGACACAAUUGUAUUUGUAAAAUUAAAAUAAAAAAAAAUAAAAAAAAGAAUUAAGGAGAGGCGCUCAGUCUUCUUCUCUUCUUCCUCUGUAACAUCAAAUUUAGGUAAGAAUAACCAAACCCAGAAUUUAAAACAAACACAAACCCAAUCAAAAUUUAUAACACUGUUCAUUCAUAAAUUCAUCAAAAAAUUCAAACACAAAAUAUUUACAAUUCAAUCUCCUUUUCUUCAAAACCUAAUAACAAUAUAAUCAUAAAAGAAAAAAUAAAUUAAAGGGGUUUCGAUUUUCAUACAUUCUAGUGGCUUUGAGAUCGAACUUAAAACACUUCUUCUCUUCAAACAGAACUAAACAAAAUCACUGGUGGCUCUGAGAUGAACGACCAUUGUCACAGAAAAUGAUUCAUAUCUGUUUUCUUGAGCAUCAUGAUUUUUCAAAAUUUCCAGAAUUUCAAAAUUUGUUUUGAUCUUUGUUUUUGGAUUUAUUUGUAUGUUCUGUGUGAUGAUGAUUGAUAAGAUUAAGAUGGAAUUUGGAGUUUUUUACUAUGGAAUAUAGAACAAUUGAGAUGUGAGCAAGAAGAUAAAAAGCUCACGAUGAUGCAGAAAACGUGACAAUCUCAAAUCCUUCGAUGCAAAGGCUCAUGAAACACGUUCUUCUUGAAAAGUGAUUCUGAAACUCGAUUAUGCAUCCUAAAAUGAGAGAAAUCACUCAACUCUGCAUCCUGAAACAGCGACGAAAGAAAUGAGUGUUGUUGUUGUUAGUGAGAAAGAAAAAAAGGCUUGUUGUUGAUAUUGUUUGAGAGAUAAAGUAAAGAAAAGGGGAAACUGUUGAAGAUGGGGAUUAGUUUUGAUUUUUGGUUUUUAAUUGAAUGAUUUUAUGAAAAUAAAGAGGUUCAAGAUGAAGAUGUUUUGCCCCCUUUUUUCUAGAAUUUUAAUUCACGUUCUUUUUUUUUUCUUUUUGAUUUAUUUAAUUUCAUUUUUAUAUAUUUGGCUUUUUUAUUUAAUUUUUUAAUUGAAAAAAAACACAUGUGGCGUGCCAUGUAGACUUGACCAAGUCAAAAUUGACCUUUUGUAAAAGGGGCUAGACAUGGGGUCACUUUUGCCAUUUUUUUUAAAAGAGGGCCAAAAUUGCAAACUUAGGGAGUAAAAAGUGUGUUUAAGCUUAAAUUUUAUUUAUUGUGUUCGGCCAUGGGUUCUUUCUAUUUUCUUUUUUAAAAAAAGAGCAUGUGUUCUCCGUGUAAACUAGUUGCACAUUGAUGUUCAAUGAGGAUUGAAAAUCUUGUUUCUUACUAAACGUGUCUGGAUUUUUUUUCUUUGGUCAAAUAACAUAGUGGAUAGAAAUCCAUCCACCUCUCAAGAUGAAUAAUUGAGAUGUCCGAAGUUCAAAUCACAACUGAUGCAUAUAUAAUACAAUGUGCUUACUAACUGAGUUAAGUUCAAUGAGACUUUUUAAAUUAAUAACAUUAUAAAUAUUAAACUAACCCAUUUUUUUUAAAUAAAAUUAGAAGCCAAAACAUGUGAAUGCUUUUAUUAAAAUACUUGUAUUCUUUAAUCAUGUUUGGGCUAUGAUUUGGGUUACCUUGUGUUGGCCUGUAUUUUCAAAGUGCUUACUUUCGAGAAGAAAAAUGGUUGUUGAAACCAUGAAAUGCUCUGAGUACGAGGUAUAGAAUAACCAUUUUGACAAGAUUAACUGGAAAGAGGUUCAGUAAGUCUUUGGAUUCGACUAGAAGAAGUUAGUCCCUCGUUGAAUAGGCAAGAUCAAAGGUCCAAACACGUGGAAAACAAGCCAAAUUUGCCGAAUAGAUGUAGUUUAAGACUGUUGGUCAUUUUCAGUCAUUUUCUUAUGUAUUUAUACUAGUUUUUCAUAUGAAAAAAAGGGUCACAAAUCAUUUAUCAAAAGUUAUUUAAAUUCAAAGUAUCCAACAUAGAGAGAAACGAGUGCAGAAUGUAUGCAACAAACUAACUAACAAGAAAUUAAAAACUAUAAAAAAAGAAGAUCAAAACAAAAAUGUAAAAAGCAAGUUUGGUAACUUUUACUAACUAAAAUCAUAUGUUUGUGUUUUGCGAAACCAUAUUUGAUCGAGAUCAUUUGUUGGCGUUUUCUGUAAAUUAGGUCUAAAGCAUAUUAAUUUAUAUGAGUUUUCUGAGUUAUAGAUUGGAAGCGAAAGCAAGAGUAUUGUGUUUUUUUUUGUCUCGAAAGGCAAACCAUAAGCGAUUCAAAGUGGUUUUCCGGUACCAUGAGUCAUGAGACAAACCAUAUUGGAUUGAUAAUGAUUUUAUGUGCAAAAGGUGGACCGAAAACUCAAAUUGUGUUUUCUAUUGCUAACUUAUUACUCUAAUGUUGGAAAUAAUUCAGAGACAAAUAAAAAUAAAUGUAAUUUUAAAUUUUAGGUUUAAUUGCAUUUUUGGACCCCUAUCUUUCCAAAAAUUGCGGUUAUGGACCCCUAACUAAUUUAAAUACAAAACAGCCCCCUAUGUUUUGAUUCUUUGGUAGUUUUGGACCCCCAAGGUAAAAAAAAUAUAUAAAAAAAUGACACGUGGCACCUCACUUAGGGUGCCACGUCAGCGUUGACCGAGUCAACAAUGGACUGGGGGUCCAAAACUGCCAAAGAAUCAAAACAUAGGGGGCUGUUUUGUAUUUAAAUUAGUUAGAGGUCCAUAACCGCAACUUUUGAAAAGAUAGGGAUCCAAAAGUGCAAUUAAACCUAAAUUUUAUAUAUGAGGCCAAAAAUAGGUAGUUCAAGUAAAAUGAAGGGGUGACAAUAUAGAUGUAGCAGUAUAUGGUCAAAUUUACAUCAAUUAGUUCAUUUUUUUUUUGGUUAAAUAUGCUUUUUUAAUUGUGAAAGGUGUUUGGAUUGAAUAUUCCAAAUAUACUUAUACAUCAUUAUGUACAUGCCUAAUCUGGGACUUAACUUUUCAAUAAUAUUUGAAGUUUUUCUAAUUACACCUUGUUUAAUUCUGGUUGCAUCUUAAAAUGACAAAAUUAUCCUUCUAUAAAAUUUAAUUUUCAAAAAGCAUCUUCAUUUUUUCUUGGUUACACCCUAAAAUCCCUCUUCAGUUUAAAUAGGUCAUGUAAACUUAGUUUAAGUAGGUCAUGUAAACUGAGUUUAAGUGUACAUUUAAAAGUUCAACUUUGUUCAAUGAUUCUACGUAAUCUCAGUUUAAGUAUGUACAUGUAAACUUAUUUUAUGUAGGUCAUGUAAACUAAGUUUAAGUGUACAUACUUAAACUCAGUUUAAGUAGAUCAUGUAAACUUAGUUUAAGUGUACAUUUAAAAGUUCAACCUUGUUCAAUGAUUCUACGUAAUCUCAGUUUAAGUAUGUACAUGUAAACUUAUUUUAUGUAGGUCAUGUAAACUAAGUGUACAUACUUAAACUCAGUUUAAGUAGAUCAUGUAAGCUUAGUUUAAGUGUACAUUUAAAAGUUCAACCUUGUUUAAUGAUUCUACGUAAUCUCAGUUUAAGUACGUACAUGUAAACUAAGUUUAAGUGUACCUGCUUAAACUCAGUUUAAGUAGAUCAUGUAAACUUAGUUUAAGUGUACAUUUAAAAGUUCAACCUUGUUCAAUGAUUCUACGUAAUCUCAGUUUAAGUAUGUACAUGUAAACUUAUUUUAAGUAGGUCAUGUAAACUAAGUUUAAGUAUACAUACUUAAACCCAGUUUAAGUAGGUAAUGUAAACACAGUUUAAGUAGGUCAUGUAAAUUGUGUUUAAGUGUACAUCUAAAAGUUCAACUUUGUUCAAUGAUUAUACGUAAUAUCAGUUUAAGUAUGUACAUGUAAACUUAGUUUAAGUAGGUCAUGUAAAUCGAGUUUAAGUGUACAUACUUAAACUCAGUUUAAGUAGGUUAUGUAAACUAAGUUUACAUGAACCUACUUAAACUAAAUUUAAGUUAACCUCAACAAUGUAAAACUGAAACUGUCGUACAGUGUAGUUGAACAAGAAGAAGAAAAUUGAAACCAGCAUUAUUGAAAAAGAAGAAAAAAUUCACUUAUUUAUAUGCAAUCGAGUACGAAUGAAAGAUGUUUUGAUUCACUCUUUAAUCUUCCAUAGAGAUUAACUGAACAUCAAGAUUGUUUGAUCGUUGAUGGGUGAAAGAGAGUGGAAUUUUAGAGUGACAAUGAAUGAAAUCAACAUUUUAAGAAAAUUUAUAUUAAAGGACAAUUUUGGUAUUAUCAAAAACUUUUUAAAAAAACUGGGUGUAACCAGAAAUAUAUAGGGUGUGAAUAGAAAAACUCUAAUAUUUGUCUUAUUCGCAAAAAAAAUAUAUGAAAUAACUACAUAAAUACUAAUAUUCGACAAACUAAUAUAGUAAAAAAAACUAAAUUUUACCUUUGUUGAUUUCAGAAACUCGAUUGUUGGCGCUCUACUGAAAAGUUUUUUGAAAGUCCUAAACCAAUUUUGAAUAAGUGUUGUUUUCCCCCUCCCAAUCCGUUCACUUGGAACCCUAUAUAAAAUAUUGAGAAAGAAACUUGCAACAUGUUAAAAAAUAGAUUUAAAGAAUAAUAUUGUAAAAGUCACACUACAUACAUAUACAAAUCAAUAUUUACCAAUGUAACAAAAAAAAAAUCAAUAUUAAGUGGUAUUCCAAUACGAUCACAAAAAUCCACCAGAUAAGCUUAAUCUUAAUGCAUUUUAUAUUCAUGGCAUAAUUCAUCAAAAGAGCAAGUAUAGUGAACAAUUGAUAAUGUGCCGUACAUGAAGAAAAAAAAAAGUGGGGGGUGCUGGGGACAAAUAGAAAAAUGAAAGAUUCAUGUUUUUUUUUCUUUCAAAGCAAUGCAAAUCAUUAUUAAGGCCUGAGCAUGUUUACAAAAGAGAGAAAGGAAGCCAAAAGCUAUCCUAUAGCAACAAAACAAAGUGUAACUUGCCAAGAAAGCAUAGGGUUGCACAUGCCCCUAAAGAAAUCUAAUCAGAUAAAGCAUAUGUAAAGCAAAAUAGAUGAGUAUCAAAAUUUCCUAAUCCUCUAAUCACCAUAUUUAGGAUUGCUUUUGAUAACACCAUGUUUGGAUCUUGUAUUCACAGCAUCAGAGCCAGACUCAAUAGGAUCUGUAGCGGUUUUGUGUUUUGAUUUGGUGCCAGAAAAUGCUUUGGGACUCUUGGGCUUUCUAGGUCUCCCUCUCUUGCCCUUUUUAACAGUGUCUGUAGGUUGUGAUAAGAAUUUGUGCACUUCAAGAUGAGCCGCUAACAAAGCCUGUUGCUGCUCGGUAUAAGUGUCAGGCUCCAAUGUGUUAUCAAAUGCCUGAUCAGUGUCCAAAUCAUCUGCCCAAAGUUUGCUCAGAAUUUUCUCGCUUUUCCUGCAAGCUUCAGAGUUAUUAACAACUUUAGCAGAUUGAGUAACCUUACCUUUAUUCGGUCCAAGAUUCUCGUCGGUGGUGGUAAUAGGUGAAAGAAUAAAGUCACCAAGUGUAGCUUUUGCAGGUGGAGCAGUUUGCAUAACAAAAAUAGGAUCCCUAGCCGAGCUAGCAGACACAGUUUCAGCGCCAAGGAAUAACAGCCUCGCAGCAUUGCUGUACUGCACAUGAGGUGUUGGAGCUGGUGUGGGUAUCCCAUCAUCAGUCAUCAACUUAGUAUUGUUUAAGGUCAAAAAUACAAACACAUCGGAAACAUUUUGCGAAGUAUCAAAAUCCUUAGAGUGUGCAGCUUAACUCAAACUAACUAUCUUCUCGUAUACCUUAUUAACAAUUUCAGCACCAUCAACCAAAGUGACAUUAGAAAUUUGAUUAGGAUCCUUGUCAAGUAACUGAGCCUCCCCUGAAGGAAUUUCACUUUCUUCGUAUAAUAAGUCAAAAGAAUUGUGAAGAGAUAAUGUUGGAGGGUUAAGACUCUCCUGGGUUGCUGCAAUCUCAGGCACAUCCACAUUACCUCCUUCCUAUUGAGCACGUCUUGGCCAGAGCUAUCCAGAAAUACCCAAUCAGUGGCUUUUCCCAACAUGUCAGAAACACCAGUAGCCGAAACAGAAACCUCUUUCUGAGACAUAUGACAUGAGAUAGCAGAUUUAGAAGUAGAAGGAUAUUGAGCCCCUUGGAAUGUAACAUGCCUCUUACCUUGCCUGACGUUGUUGGUCACCAGGGCAGAUUGUUGAGAGUUGGUGGCAUCAAUAAAAACAUGUUCCUGUUGAGCAACCUUAUAAAUAUGAGUUGAAGAAUAAGAAGGCACAGAGCCUUGACCCUGUUGAGAAGAAGUCCCAACAUGCCUAACAAGUGUAUUACCCUUCCUGGUAUUUCUAGUUUGCAUCUGAGUGUGUUGAGGACCAACAGAAGCAUGAUGCACAGGUUUGUGAAUACCUUCCUGCAAAUUGCCGAACUGCAGCUUAAAGCAAGAGAGGAUAUCAUGUCCUAGCAUUUUACAAUGAGUGCAAAAAGAGGGUUGUUGUUCGUAUUGCACCGAGACUGACAACGUGUGUCCCUCCUGUUCCACAAUAACAGUUUCGAACAGUUGCUCAUAUAAGUCCACAUCAAUCAAAACACGUGCAAAGAGGCCAAAGCACCUGGGCAUAGUAGCAUCAUCUAUAAUCAAAGGUGUGCCAAGACUAGAAGCAAUUUCCAAGAGAGUUGUCUUACACCAAUAUUCUCGAGGCAAGCGUAAAAGUCGUACCCAAAUUUGAGCGUGAGUCUGAACCUGUGUUUAAGUAUCACAGUCACUGACCAGCAAAAAAACCUCAUCAAUCCAGGCUAGGGUACAAUUACGAAGUUAAAACAUGACGGCCAGAGAAAGAAAUUCUGGAAAAACUGGAAGACGGGAGAAGAAAGCUUUGUAGGAAUUUCGUAAAGUGGCCAUUAUUUUUUGUUUUGUUUUCAUUCUAAUUUUUUUAUUGCUAUUAUAUUUUCCCAUUUAUUUCGUUUUUGAACUCCAAAUGAAGGUGAAAAAUUAUUAAAGAGGAUUUAAAAAGAAGCAAAUAUAGUUAUGAAAUUGAAGAGAGUUGUGUGAGCGGCGAUUUUGAGCUUCCAGUUUGAAAGAGAAGAAGUUUAUCUUGAAAGAAAGAAAAAAGAGACGAUAUAUGGAAUGAUAGAGACAAAGAAAAAGUGAAAGGAAGAAAAGGGUAUCCAGGAAAAGGAAAAGAAAAUUGUGAUUAAAAAAUUAAAUUUAAAAUUUGAAAAGUAGUUUGCUCUUAAUUAGUGACAAAGACAAAACUGUCCUUGAUUUUACUUAUGUGUUGACUUCGAGAGAUUGGCGGUCAUUCAUAUAAAAAAUAAUAAAGAAGAAAUUGGCGGUUUAAUUUUUUUUUGUCAGUAUACUAUUUUUCGCUAUUACAACAUGAAGAGAAAAAACAAACAAAUGGUAUUAAACAAGACGAUUCUCCCAAACCAAUCCAUGAAUGGCGGAGUUUGUUGGUUUGAUUAGGACUCCGACGUAGAGUACAUUCUUGGCUUUUAUAGUAAUAUUGACUUGAUGCAUGAGAUUCAAAUUUGUUGGAAGGAAGGUCUUAAGAGUACGACGUGUUACACAAACUCUUUGCAUACUCUCCACCUGGUACAUCAUGUCGAUACACUCACACACCAUUAUGGCAACGAGACAACGACCAUAAAAAAGUAAACGAUAAUGAUUGAACUUUCCAAUUGCGUCAUAUUCUCAUGGAAGAAGGUAAUAUGUUUUGAUUAUCUUGCAAAACUUCAAACGCGAACAAUGGAUCGACGACUCUUCUAGAUGCCCUUGCUGAACUUCGUUUGGCAAUUGCCACUUACAAUGAACAAAUAGGUUUAUUUUGCCCCUGCAAUUUCCAGCGUUGUUAGUUUGCUAUAUUUUAGUGUGUAGACGAAGUAACAAACACCACAUAAAACUCUAAAAAAUGUAUCCGAACUUUAAAAACUUUUUUAUAUAUAAAAAAGAAAUAAGAGAACAGCCAAUCUAAUAAAAAAAAAGUAAAAGUAUUAUUUUUAGGUAGAUUAUAACAAAGUGACGCACACAUGUUAUGAUUUUGAUCAUCACUUAUCAUCAUCACCUCCAAAUCGAAUUCAACUUAGGUCGUGUUGGACUCAACUGGUGGUUGCACUUUAUAAAAAAGAAGAAGAAGAAGAAGAGGACCAACAAAACAACUCAUAACCCACAAUACAAAGAAUAUUCCAUUAAUAUUAUUUUUCUGCUCGAUAAUUCAAUUCAAUUCCAGGUAUUACAUACUGUUUCUUCCAAACCAAAACACAAACAAGACAAAAACAAACACCUUGGUGCGGUAAAAGGUUUUUGAUGAUUUGUUACGGUGUUGUUGUUUGAUUCAACGAUGAAGAAGAAACCCAUGGAGAGUGUGAAUGAUCUGAUCCAAGAGUUUAAGCUCCGCACUCUUUGGUGGGCUCUCUCUAUUUUCGCCGUUUCUUAUUUCCUCACUCGUAAGUUUCACUUUUUUUGUUGUUUGAAAUUUGAAUUAUUAGCUUAAGUUUCAUAUAUUUUGCUUGAUGAUAGGUUCUAGCAUAAGACCAUAGUGUGUGUAUUUUCUGGUUUACUUUGUGUUUUUUUCUUUCUUUUUCUUUCUUUGUAUUCAUGUUCCAUGUGUUGAUUAUCUGUCACAGAUACAAGUAAAUCGAUGUGGAUGAAUGUGCCGAUGUCAAUUCUAUUUGUUUGUGCUCUGCGCAUUAUUGUAAAUAAUGUGGAAUUUCGUUGGAAGGUUAAACAACCUAGAUCACAUACAUAUUUAUCACAUUUGGAGAAAAAACAGUUGUCUUUGAAUGAUCCGCGUCUCUCUAGUGUACCUCCCCCGGUAAAGUGGAAGAGGAAAAUUGAUUCUCCUGUUGUGGAGGAUGCAAUGGCUGAUUUCAUUGAUAAGAUUUUGAAGGAUUUCGUGGUUGAUUUGUGGUACUCGGAGAUUACUCCGGAUAGGGAGUUUCCUGAUCAGAUACGCGCUAUAAUCAUGGAUGUUCUUGCUGAAAUAUCAGCAAGGGUUAAAGAGAUAAAUCUUGUCGACUUGUUGACAAGGUAUGCUGCUUUUCCUGUCCUAUGAUGCCUGCCAAAGAUAAAGUAUUAUGAAAACUACUGAUUUUUGUUCUGAUUUAUUUACGUUUCAGGGAUUUAGUUGAUUUAGUAGGCGAUCACUUGGAACUUUUUAGAAGAAAUCAAGCGGCUAUAGGUGUCGACGUUAUGAAAACAUUAUCUACAGAGGAGAGGGAUGACAGAUUGAAAUUCCAUUUGUUGAACUCUAAGGAGCUUCAUCCAGCACUAAGAUCUCCCGAGAGUGAGUACAAGGUGUGAGUGGAUCAGUGGAGUGUUCCAAUGAUAUACAAUGUUUCUUUUGUUUGAGAACUAUUUCUUAUUAUCUUAUCUGACGAAUGAAUGCUCUUUUUGUAGGUUCUUCAGCGGCUAAUGAGUGCACUUUUAGCUACAGUACUAAGACAACGUGAAGCACAGUGUCCCGUGAUUCGCUCAAUAUCUCGGGAACUUUUGACUUGCUUGGUGAUGCAACCUGUUAUGAAUUUGGCAAGCCCUGGGUAUGUCGUUGAAUAUUGUCACAUUUAUUUUUGUAAUAAUUACUUUUUUGGGGAGAUGGAUCUUAACAAUAUGAGCUCUAUGGAAUGGUUGCUACAUCAUAUUCAAGAUUUUGAAUAGUCUUUUAAGUUGUGUUUUUGUAGGGAGUCGGGGGGGUUUUCGUAGGUCUAAAACAUAUUUAGGGCCCAUUUGGUUAAGUAGGCAGAAUAUGGGAAGAUACAAAAGAGGGCUGAAUGGAAAUGAUAUUCAUCGUUAUGGCGCAGAGUAUGAAUGUACUUUAUUGUUCACCUCAUAUUUAUGCCAUGUCAUUGUCAAUGAAGUCCGAAGUGAUUUUAUUCUGUUUCGGCUGUUAUUUUUUGAAGUUGUGGUUUUAAAACUAGAAAGAGUAUGAUGAGGCCAUUGAUAAUAUUAAUUUUAAAUCAGAUUUUAGAAUAAGUCAAAGGAAAGAACUAUUUUAUUGAAAGAAUAAAAGUUAGAAAGAUAAUGGGAUAGAAAUCUCUUCUGCAAGGGUUUCCUCUUCUACAACAGAGUCACUACUCUAUUCGCAAAAGUUUACAGUACUCAAUAAUAUUCUCUCCAACUCAAUAACCUCCCUAUUUAUUAUACAUGAAAAAAACUACUCCCUCCGUUUCUAAAUAUAAGCAAAAUUGACUUUUUAGGUUCAUUCAAUUAAUGAUGUAUGUGGUCCAUAUUAAUUGACUUUUUAGGUUCAUUCAAUUAAUGAUGUAUGUGGUCCAUAAUAUUUAGAAACGGAGGGAGUACCCCAUUAGCUGAUAACUUCCCUAACUAACUCCUAGGGCUGAGCAUCGGGCGGGUUCGGUCUGAAAAGUACCCAUCUGAAUGAAACUGCCAGUGGAAAAUAGGCACCCAUUCUUGACUGUCGAAGGCUCCGGUUUAGGCGGGUUUCGGGUUGUGUUGGAGACAGGUUAUAUGGGUGGGUUCCUUUGGUUUGGUCAGAAGAAACAAUCUCAAUGCCAGGUGAUAAUUUCAAGCAACAACACAUUCAAGCCGGAACACUUCAAGUCGUGCUACACCUAGAAUCUUCCUGCAGUUUCACACCUUCAGAUGUUUGCAAAACCAUGAUCUCCUUCUGUUUAGCAAAUAGCUUUGUCGGAAAGGAAGAAAAAGAAUUGGAAACAAACAAGGGAGUAUUGAAAAAGGAGUGAACAAGAUAAACAUACAAGCAUACAAUGCAAAAAUAAAGGUGCAGAAAGCAUUGAAACAGUAAUGGAUCUGCAUCUUGGAAAAUUUAUUUUGCAGUAGACUUAGAGAUAAGGAGGAUUCACAAAAAUAUAUUUUCCUUUUUUAUUUAUAUUACAUAAUACUUUUAGUUUUUAUUAAUAUUAGAUGAUACUUUUAGCUUGUUUAUUGUGAGCAGUAGUAGUAGUAUGGGACAUUGGCAGAGGAUAAGGACGGUGGAAAGACACAGGGAGAGAGGAAAUAUUGAUAAAUGGGAAACGUGUGUGGUAUAGAGGAAAAAGAAAGAAAGUUGACUGACUUUAACAAGUAACAAUUGGUCUCACUCUGUCAGAUAGUUAUACAUACUUUGAGGUUCGGUCGGGUAUGGGUAUCGAUAGAUUUCAUUUUCCAGAACCGCACCCGACCGUAUCAGCCCACUCUUAAAGUGAAUUAAUGCAUUUUAAUACCCGAAACCCAAUCAAACCCGCCAUAGAACCCAAUUUUGUUUCGGUUUUAUCGGGUUCCGGGCGAGUCACCAUCUUUUGCUUAGACCUAUUAACUCCUUAUCGCAUAUCCUAACAUCUGCUAAUCCUGAUCGUUGUGAUUCCAUUUCGAAACAAUGGCUUUGUGUUUUGUCCAACUAUCAUACCCUCCUGUUUCAUCAAAAACCAGUACCGAAACUUUAAGAUUUAUAUUUAGGUUUAAAAGAGCAAAUCGUAUUGUUUAACUGAGAACAUCAUUAACCAAGGAUCUCGUAAAAGUUUAAGCUGUUGGGUGAGGACACUUCAGUGAUUUUAUACUAUAUAUGUCUAACAUGGUCCCGCAUGCUGGGACGGAGGGAGAAGGGGGACUGGCAGGUGCCAUGGCCACCACCGAGUUUUAUAAUUCAUUCGAGUGUUACAUGGUUAAUUACUUUAUGGCCCCAUGAUAGGUUAAUUACCUUAUGGCCCCAUAAUUGGUUAAUUACUAAGCAAUUUUGCCGUAAACAGUAGCUAGGUCGAAUCGUUGUUUUAUUUUGUAGCAUGCAAAACAUAUUAUAUAAAUAUUAGAGUUUUGUUGUGUUCAUGGUCCCUCUGAAUUAUGAUUCCUGACGUCGUCGCUGCCCUCACGCAAUAGCUCUUUAAGCUUGCAGUGUUCAUAAUGCAUAGGUGCACCUACCAUGUGCUGAAAUUCAACUUUUUAAUGAAU